rnacentral:lncRNA from 1 species
AGAAAGGUCAAUACCGAUAUAAACCACACAAUCCAAACCAUUCUAGCUCCACAAAUCCCACGUGAAAAAUAAGGAUCAGAACCAUAAAUGACCUUUACAAGUUCUAUGCAAAACUUAUGCUGAGCAAAAAUUAUAGUCUAAAACUAAUUUCAAUUGUGCGCAAUAAUAAUGUGUAGUCCAAGGGUGCUACUCCCGCCCCGUGCCGAUCGAUGUCAUUAGGUACCUAAAAACCAAAUUAAACACAAGAGUGAGUAAAGAAUACUCAGCAAGUACAAUCUUGAACUAGUAAAACAUACGCAUGAUUUAUGCAUUAAGAAACCAACAUGAAGGGUUGGAUUUACUUUAUUUUUAAACCAAAGAAGUCAAAAGAUAGUAGUUCCCUCCCGGGCAGGUGUGAAUAUCCUCUUAGCAUUACCGGUAAGCCGAGCAAGCGUGAUCAGCGCUUCUCAAGGAUCAUGAAUAAAGAUCUAAAUUGCACUCCCAUGGCUACGCAUGGUUCUUGAAUAAUGUAAACAGAACAUCCGGAAUAAUGAAACAUGAAUAACGUCAUGACUUUGAAUAUGGGUCGAAACACGAAUAAGUAGCAUAACGUCAUAGCCAUACAAUCAGUAAUAACAAGCAAUUGAAUAAUAAUUAUGCAAGUAAAGCCAAACAAAACAACUCAGUUUUGUCCAUCACAUAAGUCCGUCUUGUACUUGCCUUAACUCAUUCGAUACUCCGACUCAACUCCUCCAACGUUGGAACCCUCCACACCUGUGGAGCAAAACUACGCAUAAACCACUAUAUUCAACUAACGAUGGUUACAAGGGAUAUUUACUAAAAUCAAAACCUAGAACAUAUAAACCUUUUACCGAUUUGUAUUAAAUAACCUAUAGCUGUUCCAUUACUGUUUUAUGAGUAACUCACAAACCGUCUAACGGAAACUAGCAAAUAAUACAACUUCGGACAUCUAGACAAAAUUGUCUACAACUUUCAUGUUGAGCACAAAAACAGAUUAUGCCUCUGAAAAUCCCAGAUUAAGGAAAAACGAACUGCUGUCCUGAUUUCCGGACCCGGUCAGCAGUACUGUUUUUGCUGUUUCUCCUAAACCGUUUACCGGAAUCGAGUGAAACUAGCACCGUUGGAAAGAUAUUGACAAUGACUACAAACUUUAUUUAGGACAACUAACCUGAUUCCUGAUGGUUUAAUACCAGAUUUGAAAAUACGGUUUCAGCCUAGCGUUCGAUAUAAAAUAAAUUCGAAAAAACCGGAAACAGAUCGUCUUAAAUAUAAAUUAGAAACAACUAUAGACUAAAACGGAUUACCUAGCAGUACUAAUGUAUAAGGAAAAUGAAGAAUUUGGAAAUAUUCACCAAAUUCCCCAAAUUUCCCUUCUUCUAUCAAAUUUCCCCUUCUUUCCUUCCUUCCUGUUCUUCUCUGCCUUCUCUCCCUCCUUCCUGUUCGUUGCAGGCCAACAGCAGCAGCAGCAGAAACGAAUAUCGGCAGCAACAGCAAGCCGUGCACCACCAGCAAGGAAGAGAUCAGAUCGGCAACAGCAGGGUUCGGCAGCAGCAGGGAAAUUAACAGAAACAACAGUAGCUCACCAACGACCGGCUGCGGACGACGACAGCUGUGGCGACCGGCGACGGCUGCACCAGCGGCGGCGCAGGCGAAGAGAGGAACAGCAGCGGCGGCGGCAAAGCGCAGGAGGUGCGGCGGCUAGGGCUACAGGAGAAUCGCUCCUGUUUCUUUUUUUUUCGUUUGUUUUUUUUUGGUUGGUUAUAUAAAGAGACUAAAUAAGAUCUAACGGCUCACAUCUAUUCAAUCCUCGGGACUUCGUUCGGACUCCGAUGACUAUAAAUUUAUAGUCUAUAUUGCACUACUCGGCGAGCUCUACGCAUCCACGGUUCCCGAUCGCUUAUACGAACAAUGGUUUAAAAGUUGAACUUUUGCGCGUUUGCUCUAAUAUUUCGCGAGAUAUAUUAAUUUAAAACUCGGGGUAUUACAUUCUUCCCCCCUUCGAUUGAAUUCGCCCUAUCAUGCUCUAGAACACGGGAUAUUACAGCUAUCAACCCCUCAACGGAGUAUUCCUAUCUCUUGUGUUUGAGUGCAGUACCGAAACCUCUCCAAGAUGGAGGUAGUUUCGCAAUAAUGCACCCGGCCACAAAUUUGUCGGGUAAGACACACUUAAGGAGUUCGAGUUCCUUAGUCAUGGUUUGUAUUUCAUGAGCCUGUUCGACUACAGAACGGUUGUCAGCCAUAUUGUAGUCAUGAAACUGCUCCAUGAUAUACAGAUCAUUGCUAGCAUCAGUAGCACCGAAUUUAGUAUUUUGUGCAUCCCAUGACUCCUUAGCGUCGGUCAUAUGCAUAUACACCUCGACCAGACGAUCGCCAAGCAUGCUAAGAAUGCAUCCCACAAAGAGAGUAGUGGCCUCAUCGAAUUCUUUCUGCUGAUCAGCAUUAAGAACGCCCAUAGGCUUGUCAGUACUCACCCAGAAGCAUUUCAUAGCUGUCAGCCACAGAGUGACCUUGAUCUGCCAUCUCUUAAAGUGCACACCGGUAAAUUUAUCCGGCCCCAGUGCAUCGGCAAAACCAGCCAUAGUAAAAUCGCAGCGCCUAUAAUAAGCAGUAAAACAUGAACAGAUCAAAUAUGCGCAACAUGUCGAACACGUACCGAGGUGGCGGAAAGACCGGUUGCUCGGCAGGAACUACUCGCGGUUGCGAGCGUCGACGAAGGCGCGCAGCAUGCGAGCGGAGAGGAAGGCGAGCCGUCGCGGACGAACAGGGAGCAGUUGCGCGAAGCGCUUCCCAAAAACCUUAUUGCCGCCUUCUCCCGGUGCAGGAUGUCGAAGGCAGAGGUUCCGGAGACCUGCUCUCCCGAUCGCCGGUGCAUACUGGCGAGCGGGAUGGAGUAGUCUACGAGCGACGGUGCAACACAGAGGAGGAGGCAAACCCUAGAUUGAUUUCGCAUGUGUUGCGUGAAGGCGGCGGCUCGGUUUAUAUAGAGAUAGGUCGCUUGAUCAGGGCGCCCGCACGAUCUCCACUUCGCGUAACCGAACCGGAUAAAUCGCGCGUAACUUAUCCGGACUCCACGCCGUUUUCACGCACCGGAUUUUUCGGAAUGUUUCCUACGGUUUAUAUAGAGAUAGGUCGCUUGAUCAGGGCGCCCGCACGAUCUCCACUUCGCGUAACCGAACCGGAUAAAUCGCGCGUAACUUAUCCGGACUCCACGCCGUUUUCACGCACCGGAUUUUUCGGAAUGUUUCCUACAACUUAUCCGGACUCCAGGCCAGGCGAGGCGAGCGAGCGCGCGCGUGUGUUCCCCCUCUUCUCUCCACCACACAUGCUUCAAGUGGCUAGGAGGGCAUCCUCCCUUUUAAGGAGGUCCCUCUCUCCUAGAAUAAGUAAGGUGGUACUAAACUCCACAUGCAUGCCAUCCCAUGAGGUGGGCUUUUGUGAUUUUCCAAAGAAUUAAUCUUCGAGUGGGCUAAGGCCCGUCCAUUAAUUCCAACACAUCAUGGGGACGAUGCGGAGGAUGAGAGUUUGGGACUGCAUUCUGAUGGAGAUGAUUAUCAUCGCUGUCCUCAACAACCUCUCUGCCAAGGUCCAGCUUCUAUGGAUAAGGUUUGUUAUGUUCACCUUGACAACCGGAAUCAUCAUGUUGCUCGUGUUCCAUUAGAUAAAGGGCUUUGUAAGAUGAAAAUCUCCAGGUCUUCUUUCUCAGGUUCUCGUGAUUCUAAGGAUUGUCUGCAAUGGGAGAUGUGUUGUGAUAAGAUCUUUAAUAGUCACAACUUUCGGAGGAUGAGCAGGUACGUGAUGCACCCAUUGAAUUCAUAUAUUAUGCUUUGUCUUGGUGGAAUCCAUUAGUAUGUGUUGGUCGUCCACAUACUUGGCAAUAUAUAAAAGAGGUUAUGGCUUGCCAUUUUGUUCCUGAACAUUGUACUAUAUCAUUGUAUUCACGCUUGUAGCAACUCAAACAAGGUGAUUUUAGAGUGGAUGCUUAUUAUAAGGAGAUGGAAGUUAAUGAGCCGUGUUUUGGUAACAGAGAAUGAUGAAGCUAUUAUUUAUUGAUGGUCUCAAUGAUGAUGUGAGAGAUCAUGUUGAGAUAUCAUAUUAUCAUAUAAAGAGUACGAUGCAAGCAGCAACUAAAAAGUUGUCACACUAGCCAUUCCCGUUAUUUUCAGUGAGACAGUGAUGGAUGUGUUGGUGGUAAGUCGGUCUAUUUCAAGCUGACUACUCCAUCUAGGGAUGUAUCUAAACCUGCUGCUAUUUCGAUGAGUAAAUCCACAUCUAAAAUUGAAUCUACUACUGCAUUUGGUUCUAAAUCGCGAUGUGUGAAGUGUUAUGCUUGUGGGAGAACAGGACACUAUAUGAGAGGUUGUCCUAAUCUGAAAAGGGUGUUGAUGACUUCAGAAGGUUAUAUUUUUGAGAGUAUAUUAGAAAAUUCAGAAAAGGGAAUAGCUUGAUCAUACUCUAACUACAGUAUAUUGAUAUAUUGAUGAUUUAUCAACGGAUGAUGGUAUUGAACAGAAGAAUGGUUUAUCUAUGGUUGCACGUGCAAUACAAUGAGAUAGCUCUUACAUUGAUGCAAAGGGCAACACUGCAAUAUUUUUCAGUCAGAGUGCAAAAUUCAGCAGAAGAUAUGUAAAUUAAUAAUUGAUGGUGGUAGUUUUACUAAUGCUAUCAGUUUAGAUUUAGUGCAUAAUUUCUCUUUGUCUACGUGGAGGCUUCCAAUGCCGCGUUAUAAUCAAUGUACGAAUCAAGAGGGCACACUUAAACUUACUCAUAAGUUAAGAACUACAUUUUCUAUCGGAAACUAUGUUGAUUAAGUAGAGGAAGACCGUGCAGUUUGAUCAUAAUGCAGCACUCGAGGGCCGAAGUAAUCACUAUUCUUCUAUGCAUCGUUGUGUUAAACAUCUGCCGAAACCGUUACAUGAUAGUUCUAUCAAGUUAGUAGUAUUUCCUAUCGUAAAGAAGAAGAACUUCUUUUGAAAAGAAGAAGAAAGAACUAUCUCAAAUUAAUCUAAAGCCAAGGAUGGAUUUGUUCCAAGGGAGGGAGGAUAACGUGAGCAAGAAAAAACUAAUAUGUUUCGUUGGUGUUUUACCCGUCGUCGUGCAUCAAAGCAUGGAACAUGGUCAAACUUCGAGAACUGUGGAACAGAACCCAGUAAAAAGCAAACCAUGUAGGCUACUAAGUAUAUAUGUGUCGGUUAAUUUAUUCUUGUUGAGUUAGCUUAGCCUGGUUUCGAGUUAACUAGCCAAGGGUCAUUAGUAAGGUUAUUAGCGACUAGAUUAUCAAAGUAAUUAGUAUAUUUUAUUUUUUUAUUUGUUGAGUCCGAAAAAGACUUCAUCUGAGCCUGCCUGAUCCCUUUAUUAGGGUUGAUUGACUGUGUAACAGAAGGGUUCUUUUGGUGUCAUUCUGUUGAGAGUUCUCCAGGAAAGCUGAUGGUGAUCCCAUAUACGAAUUGAGAUUAUUGCCGUUGCCGUGAAGGUGCGAGAAGAAGCUAUAUUUCCUUGAUCUUGUUACUUGGUAAAUGUUAGUGCCCUCUCUUCUGAUCAUGUUAGAAAGCACGGGUAGAAGAUUAUUUUAUCUAGGAUUUGAUGUUCAACUAUUGUAAGCGUAGCUCUCGAUUAUUUGAUUUGUUUGCUGCUGAAUUCUAUUUAUAUAGACAAGUCUGAUUUAAUUCGUUGAGUUAAUGAUUUCACGCUGCCUGACAAUUUUAAAAAGUUAACUUGUUUAUUUGUUAUUGGUACCACGGAAGAGGGACAUAUUCGGGUACUCGCUGUCGGUGCUCAUCAUCUAUGUUCUUUGCAACUGUAAACAAAUAUGGGCAUGCAUAGAAUCUAGUAGGUAAAGAAGUCGUAUAUAUAAAAAGUGCUAGACCAAUAAGGUGAGUAUACUGAUAGUUGGAUUAACCCAGUUAGAAGGAAAAGAAUGUGUGUUGCUAAUUUAUUGACAUUGGUCCCCAUGCUGGUGGUUAUAAAAUUUUUGGCCAUCCCCUUUGUUAAUGGGUAUGUUCAAUCUUCUAAUACAAUGCAUGCACCUAGGGAUUUGAAUUAUAUCUUAUGCUUGAUCAUCUACGAAGAGGCUCUUGCAAACAUUGAACAGGUAAUGAAUGCCCAACAGAACAUUCCCUAGAUCUGCGUGCAGCUUCUCUUUUCUGUCCUGCUCAAGAUAACGAUGGCGAGCACUUGAGCGCUCAAACAUGAGGACGAUGGCCUCGACCAAGGUAGAGAACACAAGCAGCACCCUGAACUUGCAUAAUGAAAGUUAGCAGGUGGCACAACCAGAGCCUAUUGUCCUCCUAGGAAUAAUCUGUGGUGUUGUCUGGGCCACCCAGGUGAAGCAAUAGGAAUGUUGUCCAGGAUGCAAUCAGCUGGUGCUCACCUGAGCUGCUGCUCGUGGUGAUGGAUAGCCGGCCAAGCAUGCAGAUUGCAGUGGAGCAGCAGAUACAUAGCAAAGCCAGAGGAGGAUCCUUCGCAGUGUGUAACCUUUGCGCCGACGGAUCCAUGACAAGCGGAGGACGAUAACUUGUAGAGCACAGCCUAGGAUGACUAGUAUUUGGAUAUGCCACUCUUUCCAAAGCUAGCUAGCUCUGCAGCCAUCGCACCUCGGCUUAACUGCAAACAACAUCACAUUAAUGAAAUACUGAAUCUAGAACCGGCCAGCCUUGCAUCAUUAGCUAAAAUGCUCGUUUUUUUUUGUGGAGCUAAAACACUUGUUGUUCCCUGAAAGGAAAGAGGAACAUUCUAGUAGCAAUUUUUUUUAAAUCAAAUCAAAAUAAAGUUUUGUGAGCUCUGAGCGAUGUUUGAAAAGAGAAUCCAAGCGCUAAAGAUAAAUAUUUCCUUAAAAUUUGAAAACUUUGUCAAUCCAUAAUUUAUUAAAAAUUUUCUAUUAAUAAAUAAAAAGGAUAGAAUCUAAGUUGAAAAAUACUGUCAUAAUGUUAUAAGUUUGUUAUAAUACAAAUUUAACUAUCAAAGAUUUAAAAGCUAAAUAUUUUUUGGCUGGAUAUAUAAAGUACUCCCUCCAUUUUUAUAUUGUAAGAUGUUUUUGUUAUGUCCUAAAUCAUACUUAGGGUAAUUGACUAAGUAUAUAGUAAAAUACAAUAACAUCUAAACCAUUAAAUUAGGUUAAUUAAAAUCCAUAAUUGAAUAUGUUUUGAUAAUAUAUUUAUUGGGUAUUAUAGAGGUCAUCCUUAUGUAUAAUAUAUUUUUCUCAAAAUUUCAGUUAAGUUCAGAGUUGACUUAAAACAUACUGUAACUACCUUAUCGUGUUAUCAAUAUAUUUUUAGAAGGUGUCGCUCUAAAGUGUUACUAAAUGACAACAUAUGUCCAACGAAAUAUAUAUACAGCAGCUUGCACGAGAGCUGGUAAAGUGGAAACCACACACCCAGUGGCGCGCCUUCGGGCGAUCGGCUUGCUAAAGAACACCACUGGUCUGCUACCUUCCUGGAGCACAGGGCCCAUGUAUGUUCUCGAAGUCGCUCUCGACGAUGAAGUCCAUGUUGAAGUCUGGUAGUUGAAGCACUAGGGUGGUCAUUUGGGCUAGCUGUAGUGCAUGGAACGCAGUUCCGCCGCCUCUUCCUAGCUGAAGACCUCCUUGCGGAGUAGUGUUGUGAGUUGCGUGGCGAUGGAGCCAAAGUUGCGGAUGAAGUGACGGUAGUAGCCUACAAGCCCUAGGAAGCCACGCACCGCCCACGCCAUCUUGGGGAUUAGCCAAUCCUAGAAGGCCUGGAUUUUCUGGUGGUCCAUCGGCACACGGAGCUUGAGAUGACAUGGCCAAGGCAGGCAAUGGUGGUGAGGCCGAUUUUGCACUUGGAGCGUGCGAGGUGGGAAUGACGAUCCUGCAGGGUUUGGACCAUGUCGAGUUGUAGAUUAGGAUGUCAUAAAAAACCAACAUGAACCGUCGAAGGAACAGAAGGAGUAUGUUGUUCAUGAGCGUCUGGAUGGUGGCAGAGGCAUUGGUGCGGCUGAACGCCAUGACCAAGAACUCGAAGAGACCCAGAUGCAUGCAAAACAUCAUUUUGUGGACAUUGUCGGGGUGCACGACCACCUGGUGGUAGCCGAAGCGCAUGCAUGUUGAGCUUGGUGAAGAAUUUUGUGCUGCGCAGUUCAUCGAAAAGUUCUUGCGCCAUCGGGAUCAGGAACUUGUCCUUGAUCAUCUUGUCGUUCGGCAUGUGGUAGUCGACGCGAAAUCACCAUGAACUAUCACACUUCUUGAUCAUCAUGGCCAGCAAAGAGAACUCCGACGCACUUGGACGGAUCACACCUUGGAGGAGCAUCUCGUUGCAUUGACGCUCCAAAUCGUCCUUUUGGAUGUGGGUGUACUGGUACGGGUGCACGACGACGGCGAACUCCAUGUGCUCUAGGCGGAUGCUGUGGCACAUGUGUUGUUCUGAUGUUAGGCCUUGUGGUUAGGCAAAGAUGUUGAUGAAGUCAUUGAGUAGUUUGUUCAUGAGUUCGCCAGAGGUGCCGUCGAUGGCCACGGAGUGGACGGGUGGUGGCAGAGUGUCGAUGCUCACCUAUGUGACGCGGUUAUCGACUGGGCUAAAGGCGAGCAAUUAGCAGGAGAAUCCCACAAGAUGACCCGAGCGUACCGAACCAUUGUGCACCCAGGACGUUGUCAUAGCCCCCAGUGGCAGCACGUAGAAAUCUAUGUCGAAGGUGCACCCAGGACAACUGUUAAUUUUAACGCGCUGGGGCGGACACCGACCGGGCGACGUCACAUGGUCUCCAUUCACCAUGGCGACACUGAGGCCGAGAUAGGGGUGGAGCGGAACGUUCGCCCGUCAUGCCGUGGUGUUGCUUAUGAAGUUGUGGGUGGAGCUAAAGUCUAGGAGGGCGACGAGAUCUGUCGCACCAGUGCGAGCAAGGAACUUGAUCGUGUUGAACUUGGGUGAGUGCACGCCAGUCAAGGCAUGCAACGAUAUGCUCGGUUCACCCACCGUGAUGAACUCAAUGACGAAGGACUUCUAGCAGCAAUGUCUGGCGACGUACUUCUUGUCGCAAUUGUAGUAGAGGCCCUCAGAGCGGCACUAGGCCAUCCCUGCUAGGGAGAGACGCUUAUGAGGGAGGGCAGUCACCAGGGGUUGCUUGCCGAUGUGGGCAGAGGACGAUGUGUCGGCUGGCGCGAUCGCCAUAGGCACAGCCACAGGCGCCGCAGGGAGUGCAAGCGUGGUGGCCGGCCCGCCCGUGUGGGAAUGGGAUAAGUGUGGACGCAUUGUUCGUAGGCCCAGGCUAGCAUGAUGGCGUAAUCCAGGGAGCGAAACCGACAGAGCGCGACAUCUAUCUUGAGCGGGUUCACAAGGCCUGCCAUGAAAAGUUGAACGUGUUGAUUCUCCGAGAGCGUAGCGUCGCGGUACACCAGCGCAAGGAAGCUAUUGAUGUAAUCCUCCACCAUGCCAAUGCGCUACAACGCCAUGAGUUCGCUAAGGGGGGCAUCUAUCAUUGCUGGGCCAAAACGGGUGUGCACCAAUUGGACAAAUCGCCGCCAGGAUGGGGCGCCGGAGUUGAGCUCAAGCCUGUAAUACCACAACUAGGCAUCCCCGAUUAGAUACAACAACACGUAUCAAACCUUGCGAUUCUCUAGUGUUUGUUGGCCGCGGAAGAACCUGUCGCAGCGGUUGAGCCACGGGAGCGAAUGACCCUUGCCGUCGUACGUCGGGAAUUCCAAUUUGGUGUGGGGCAGGAAGUUGUUGUCGAUAGCGGUGUCACCAUCAGCACCGGUGGGAUGUGCCAGGAAGGUAUAACUGUGGAAGUGCGUGUCAUUGUCCCCGGGCGGUGGGCAGCCAUCUUGCACCAUGUGCGACGCCGAGCCAGAGGAGGCGUUCGUUUGGGGAAGUGGCACGCGUUGGGAGGCCUCUAUGUGCUCGAUGGCGAGGUUGAGGGCACACACUUGCUCCGAAUACUCUAACUCAUUAUCUCUGUGCUACCCCUUCUGUUAUUGCCGAUCUAAAAAUCGACAAACAUACUCCUCCUGGACCUCCUCGAUGCAUUCUGGCUCAUAGACUCAUCAUGCUGGAGAUAAAGACGGUAAUGUUCAAUCACCAACAUGAUAGCUAAGCUCUUAUUUUCAUAAGUAAACACAAACCCUGAUGUCGUGGACCCAGUGCACGACUCAGAAAGGCGAUAAGAUGGUCGUUUUGCAUCAGCACAGCCGCAAUAUCUUUAUGGGAUGCAUCUGUCUCAACCACAAACAACUGAGAAAGAUAAGGCUUAGGGCAUAGCUAUUACAGGAGCUGGAAUGAGUUCCUGUUUUAGGGCUUGAAAGGCCUCUGCCACUACUAAAAUAAAAUGCUUUUUAAACAAAAUUAUUUUACCCCUUUUUAGAUGAUGAAAAGAUUAUAAAUAUUUUUUUUGCGGGAAAAAAGAUUAUAAAUAAUUAAAGUCUAUAAGGAUGAAUUAAGUACGAUAUACUAUGUUAGAAAAUUAUAGAAACAAUACUGAUAAAAAAUAAUUGUGGACAAAUACUUUUGAAGUGUGGUAGGUGUUGUCUCGUUAAUACACCAUAUUUAUAAAUGUCAAAAACUCAUCCUACAAUAUGAUACCCAAAAGACCCGCAUAAAUGUAUCGACGAGACUACGGGUCGGGUGCCUCAUAAAAUUGAAAAAGUUGAGCGCCCUUCUCCGUGCUGCAAUAUCUAUUUGGUGUAGCCGUCUCUGCAUGCUUGCAUGCUGCACUCCUUGUUCUCUCCUCUCACUCUCUCUCUCUCCUGUCUUCUCUCUCAUGCGUAGGUUUGACGCACAUCCAUGCAAUCUCUUUUAUCAAUUUUUAAAUGAUAUUUCUCCUAAAUUAUUGAUCUAAUUUACAAUCCGAUUAUACCAUUAUAUUUAUUGUAAUUAAAUCCUUAUAACAAUAUCCCGCAUGAUCAUAUUAUGAGUAAAAAUGAUUAUAUUUUUAAGUAAAAUACUUUUAUAUACUAUAUAAAACAUCGAGGUGCGAUGGUUGAAACAUUACGUAAUAUUUACUGAAACAUUCAUAUAAUACAAUGUGCAACAUUUUCAAAUGAAUCAAUAAAACAUCGGACUAAGUCACAUCCACGUAACACACCACAUGCAACAUUUGAUAAAAAUUCAUUGGAACAUAAAAAGUUAAAAUGUGCAACGUAGUUGGAUUCCAACUGAAACAUAAAAAGAUCUUGUUUUGCAGAUUUAAUUACAAUGAGUUUGGUGGUGUAAGUAGAUUGAAGAUUGGAUGAGUAAUUUCAGAGAAAAAGUAUUUAAAACUUGCUAAUAAAUCUAUCUUUUACACAUAGCAAAGUCCUAAGGGCUUUCAUAGCACGUCACAAAGUUUUGGUGGGCUUCACAUGCCACCUAGACCAAGAACAAUGUUAGCCACAUGUUCCACAGUGCAAGUUCCUUAUAGUUGUUCCCACCAGUACUACUUUACUUUUCACUUUUCCCCUUCCCUCUCUCUGAAAUUUUUACAUUUUGGUCCUUUUUAAAAACUUAUUUUACAAAUAGACCCCUGGGAAAACUUAAACCGGAAAUGGUCCUUUCGGGGCGCCAGAGUGGCUGACGCUGUACCCCAACAUGGCGGCGCCAGCCAUAUUGGCGCCGAGCCCGUGCCACCGUGGCACUAGGGCUGUCGUGGAGGUGCUGACUAGGCAGAGGGGGGCGCUAGCCAGAGUGGCGCCGCCCCUCACACCACAGCGCCAGCAUGGCUGGCGCGCCCCUCCUCUGCGGGCCCCACCAUCUUCCCCCCCCCUAAAAAUUUUCGCCAAGUCUAUUCUGCCUCCGGGCAACGGCUAGCGCCCCCCCAGACCGCGGUGCCAGGGUGGCUGGUGCCGCCCUCCUCCCCCGCCCGAAACCCUUUUGCCUCCGGGCCUCGGCUGGCGCCGCCUCAUGGACCACGGCGCCAGGGUGCAUGGCGCCGCCCUCCUCCCCCCACCGAAACCCUUCUGCCUCCGGGCCUAGGCUGGCGCCGCCCUCAUGGACCACGGCGCCAGGGUAGCUGGCGCCGCCCUCCCCCCGCCCGAAACCCUUCUGCCUCGCGGCACUGGCGGGCGCCUCCCUUCCCAGCCCUCGCACCAGGGUGGUUGGCGCUGCCCUCUGCCUCCCUGCAAAUUGAAGAUCCAUAUUGCACAAAUGUACCAAUUCACAGUUCGCAAUUCAAAUCACAAUUCACAGAUUCAUACAGACUAAAACAAGUUCCAAUUGCACAAAUCACAAUGCCAAAAGUCCAUCAUAUAGUCCUCACAUAGUCCAUCUCAUAUUCCACACAUCAAACAAUGCCAAAAGUCCAUCACAUAUUCCACACAUCAAACAAUGCCAAAAGUCCAUCACAUAUUCGACACAUCAAACAAUGCCAAAAGUCGAUCACAUAGUCCUCACAUAGUCCAUCACCUUUUAUAUCACAUAGUGCACCACAUAUGUCAUACUACCAACAAAUAGAUUAACUUCAUACAAAUCACUUCUUCCAUUGGCGCCGAAUUGCUUGCGAGCCCGGAGUGUACCUACAUUUGAAAAUACAAUGUUUAAAACAUAUUAAAAACAAAAUGAGGGAAAUCAAAUAACAUUUUAGAAUGGUAAGCUCAUUUUACCUCUUUUUCGCUGCCCGAGUAGAUCGCAAGUUGUAUUGCGUGGGUUGCGUCCCCUGAGGUGCGUCGGGAAGCUACGACAUGUCUAUCUCCUCAGUGUCUGGUGCGACGUAGUCCUCAUCCUCGUCGUCGUCGUCGUCAUCGUCAUCGUCGUCGCUAGGUGGAGCCGGCGCCUUCCCCUUUCCCCUCCCUUGCGGAAUGCGUGACGAUGAUGAGCCACCAACUUCUUCACGCUCUUCUAUCCUGAUGGAGUGUCGAGCAGUACUUGGACGCGCGGAUUGAGGUAGUGGUGGUGGUAGUCUCCACGGUUGGUACACGUCGUCCAAUCCAACCGACCUGCAACCUAAUCUUGCUACAAGUUUCCGGCACCUUUGACGAACUUUCUGCAUUUCAAAAAAAAAAGAAGUUUGUUAGGCAUAACUCAAGUAAUGCAAAGUGCUAAAUAAAUUUUACCUCUAAAACAUUGCGGAGUGUGUUCUCCGUGUCCUCACCAAUAAAAAGGGGUUCUAGGGUUACCCUUCGAUCUACAAAUUCAACCAAUAAAAACGAAAAAAAAGAGGGGGGAAUGGAGGAGUCUACCUUUCUCUUCGAUUUCUACAAAAAAUCCCGCGAAAAACGAGUUCAAAUGUAGUGGAUUUGAGGUGGGGAGGUGAGGGGGAGAGACGAGNNNNNNNNNNNNNNNNNNNNNNNNNNNNNNNNNNNNNNNNNNNNNNNNNNNNNNNNNNNNNNNNNNNNNNNNNNNNNNNNNNNNNNNNNNNNNNNNNNNNNNNNNNNNNNNNNNNNNNNNNNNNNNNNNNNNNNNNNNNNNNNNNNNNNNNNNNNNNNNNNNNNNNNNNNNNNNNNNNNNNNNNNNNNNNNNNNNNNNNNCAGUCGCGGAAGUGGUCGGGUAUCUACGGAUCCUGAUUGGGCGAUUUCGGCCAACUCUUCUUUCUCGCGCGGCGAACCGGCCCAAGCCGGCCAGCGACGCCGCCCACCCCCUCCUCCUCGGGUCACGACAUGUGGGACCCACAUGUCGGUUGCUUCUUCAACCUCCGGCCGGCCGGCCUAGUCGAGCCCGAGCCGCCCCCUUCUCCUCUCAAAUCCGCUCCAAUCCGGCCCCGUUUCUUCUGGAUUUUUGAGGGGUUUUUAUCCCCACAUCCUCCUCUAUCUUUCCCCUCAAGAAUCAGAGCAAACAGUGUGGCUGGUGCCCCCAUUCUGCCCAGUCAGCACCUCCACGACAGCCCUAGUGCCACGGUGGCACGGGCGCGGCGCCAAUGUGGCUGGCGCCGCCAUGUUGGGGUACGGCGCCAGCCACUCUGGCGCCCCAAAAAGGACCAUUUCUGGUUUAAGUUUUCCCAGGGGUCUAUUUGUAGAAUAAGUUUUCAAAAAGGACCAAAAUGUAAAAAUUUCAGCCCUCUAUCUCCCCCACAGAGAGCCGGGCGGAGACGGCGCCGGGCCGAGCAGCGACGGUGGUGCGGCCUAACACUCGCUGGAACACCACCCCUCCUCCUCCUCCCCCUCCCCUAACCGAAGCUCGGCGGCGUAGUACCGUUGGACGGCGAGGUCAGCUGGCGGCCGUCUGGGUCGGAGCACCACCUCCGCCAUGCCUCCCCUCCUCCUCCUCCUCCUCCUCCGGCGUCGCGGAUCGACUGAGAGCGCAGCCUCGACCUCGAGCUACUCUCCCUCUCCCCUCUCCUAUCUUCGCCUCUGCCCUCUCCUCCACCCCCAACGACCGCGGCGGUGGCGUGGCCCUCGAGCUCUCAUCUCCCCCUCCCCCCUUCUUCACCCUUUCCGGUCCUCGUCCGCGGUGGCAGCAUCGCCAUCGCUGGCGUCAGCCCGGUCCUCGUCCGCGGUGGCUGCGCCACCGUCGCCGGCGCUGGCCCGGUCCUCUUUCUCUCUCUUUCCGACGAGCUCAGUGGUGUGCAUGCCUCUCCUCCAUCUGUUUUUUGAAACUUAAACAUAUAUUGUACAACGCCAAUGGGUAAGGCUUAAGGCAAAGAGCCAACAAAAACCGCAGAAGAGAAGACUGCAUUAAGAUCACAAACUUCGUAUUGAAACUAAGCAGCAGAGGAGGUGCAAAUCGACAGGGAGCUGCGGCAAUGCCGCGACGAUUGCAACCUUCGGUCUCCUUUGGCGUGCAGACUGCUUGACAAACCUGUAAUCCCCUUCAGUCGCCUCCACAGAAACUGCACAAAUUGGAGAUUUGAUGUUGAGCCGUAGAUUUUGGUGUAGGCUUCACCGGGCUCAACCAGAAUUCACCAUGGAGUUCGCCGUUGAAUCUGAGGAGCUUGAGCUCAACCCGAACAACAAACCCUGCAUGGAAGCUGCUACAAAAAGAAACUACGAGAAUGAAGGAACCCAAAUCUAGCCACUCAAAGGAAGUUAAAAGUUCAACUAAUGGCGAAAGAACUAUUGUCUUCUUGGGUCAACGGGCAAGGUUGGGGAAGAGGAGACCUGCAAAAGAGGGCUUGAGGAAUAUGGCUUGGGAGGGCUAUCAACCACUGAAUCUUGAGGAGAUGGGUGGUGGAGGUUGAGCUUUGGGUGUAUCAGAGGUGGGGUCAACAAUGACAUCGUCACAGCAGAGGGCGACCCGAGCCACAAUGGCAUCGUCACAGGGGGCGGCGAGCUGCAAGAACGCCGCCGCCGUCCCAAUCUACCCGAACCACAAGCGGAUCAAACCUCCUCCACACGGGCCUCCUCUAGCUUGGCCUCCUUCUCAUUCUCCACGCUAGUCUUUGAGGUAUGCAAGAGAUUGAAUAUCCGGCAGCUGUAACGCCCCGAUUUUCGUUCGGGAUUAAAAUCAUUUAAUAAUGCAUUUUCUAGAAUUUAAAUAAAAAUUAAAUCAAUUUAAUCAAGUGAAUUAUUGAGGAAAUUAAAAUUUCCUUUAAAAAUCAUUGGCUGGGAAUAUUUUGUAAUAUUCUUUGUGCCCUAAUAUACUCUCUGAAAUUUUCCGCGAAUUUUCGCAGCUCAAGAAGUAAUUUUAAUAGCACAAAGUUCAUUUAAUCAAUUAAAAUAUAAAAAAAACCAAAUAAAUCUCUCCUUCCUCCCUUGGGCAAUUUUCAGCUCAAGCCCUCCUUCUCUCUCCCGCGGCCCGCGUGCUUCCUUCUCUCGGGUCGGCCCAGCUCGCUCCACCCUCCAAAUCUAUUCCCCCCCUCUCAAACCGGCCUCUGCUCUUCUCAGGACGACAGGUGGGACCCGUGGGCCCCACCUGUCAUCCCCAAUCCCCAGCCAUCCCAAGCCCAACCACGCCAUGCCGCCAUACCGCCCACGACGCCGCCGUUUUCACGACCUCUCGCUUGCGCGCUCGCAUCCAAACCGAGAGCAACCGCAACCCCUCCACCUCCUCCACACUCUCCCCACAUUUCCCCCAAAAAUCGCACCGGGCGAGCUCCAUUUCACCCACAAUUUCGCCCACGUCGCCGGCCGUUGCCGCCCCAAAACCGCCACUCCUCGACCUCCCUGUUGCUCCCUCGCGCCAUAAAGAGCCUCCCCGUGCUCUCCUCUCGCAUUUCCCGUCUUCCCCGCGCCCUCUCCCGCUCUCCCCUCGCCAAGCCGAGCCGCCGCCGCCCGCCGGAGCUCCCCAGCAUCGCGUCGUCGCCGCUUCCGCCGCCUCUGCGUUGCGCCAAAGUCACCUCUGGCUUCACCACUCCACGCCGCACACCGGCUGCCCCACCGCCUCCCUACACCAUCCUCGCAGCACCGUUUCCACCGUGCACCCAAGGCCGCCGCCGCGUUCGUUGCCUCUAGCCGCGCGACUCCGCCUCUCCGGUUGACCCCACUCCGCGCCGCCGCCACCUAUAGCGUCGCAGCGCCUCACCACAGCUCAGCGUCCCCCUCACUCGAGCUCCCAUCGCCAGUGCCUCUUAUGUAUGUAUUUACGCUUUAUUUAUGUUUGGAUCUGUUUAUCACUUGUUGUAUUGUGUACCCUGGUUGGUUCUGGACAGGGAUUUAAUACAUAUAAUAGUCUUGAAAUAUGGGUUAAAUUUCUGGGCGUGACAGCAGCGUCAGCAGGACUGCUCCUCCUGCCACUCCUCUUCAGACUUCGGAUCUAACUUGUCAACCUCGUCCUCAAGGUUCAGGCCGACGCUGACGUCAGCCGAAACCUGGCCCCAACCAGCACCGUCACCAUCACCAACUCCGGCAACCAUGGGACCUAGCCGGCAAAAACUUAACAUGGGAAAAACCCUACUUGCAGGAAGAACCUGACAACAAGGAACUAAUCUAACAACACUAUACUAGUAGGUAAAGGUGGAUGGACCCCUCCUCCAAGCUUCGCCGGUGGCGAACUGCCGGAAUCGAAGGUGGAAGAGGGGACAGAGGGGAGGAUUUUGGAGAUUUACUGUAGCAAGGGGAAAGGGGAAAGGGGAGAAGAUCAACCGUUGUUCCUCUCCUCCAAUCCUCUCUCUCUUCCCAGAGGACACGGGACACGAAAUUGUGUGGGCCUAGAGCAGUAGUUUUGACGAGGAACAAGUAGCAUAUUUUGGCUUUCCGUGUUUGGUGAAUCAACCAAAUGUGCUGAGGUGGAGGGGAAUCUACGAGUUGGCCGGUUGAGGCUGAAUGAUACCUCAGUGCACUGUGAAUGGCCUAACAGCAAAGAGAGAACAUAUGCAACAUGAAAGAGAGAAGCACGCUAGCUAGCGCACGCUGCACGUGUUGUUACAGAGAAAAAGAGACUAGAGAGUAGAGUAGGAGAGCGUUCGAGUUUUUUUCAACUUGCAUUGGAUCAGUUGAACCGAUCUGAAGUAUUCUCCUAAGUGCACAGGUUACUUGGCAAGUUUUUUUUUUUAAAAAAAAAGGCAAUUACAUGAUAAAGUGACAAUAUGAGAAUGUGCACUCAGCACUCGAUCAGCAGCUCUUGUAAGAACCAAGCAUGCGUGCGUGCUUGCUUACGAGAUAUUGUCGAAGUGCUGGUCAUGCAUGGCUCAUUGUAUUGUGUCCCAACUCAGUCGAUCGUGACAAGCAUAACACUCACCCUGCUACCCUGGAAUCAGCAGUGGUGCCUCAUCACAGUCAUAGCGAUUGCCCGCCGCCGGCGCACUGGAGGCGUCUUCCUCUGUCGUUGAUGCCAAAGUAGUGUUGACGACGAUCAAGCUGUUAAGGUCAGGCAACGGUCCGUCACGCUCCAGGACAUCCAUAGCUUGCCGCAUAGAAGGUCGGUGUUGAGUCUGCAAAGCAGAGCACCAGAGCCCCAAUACGAUGACACGCUCUAUCUCCCUCAUAUCAAGGCCACCACCCAUGGUUAACCUUGUAUCCGCCGCCUCGACAACAUUGCCACCGCUUCGGUAUAGGUCCCAGAUUUGCUCCCUGUGCCUCCUUGCACAGGCGAUCUCGAGAAGGGCAAUGCCGAAGCUGUACACGUCUGAGCUACGCUUGAAUGGGACCUUACCAUGUUUCAGACACUGUGGAUCAAGGUACCCUUCCGAGCCUAUGGCAGUUGUCAGCAACGUCGCAUUGUCUUGGUUUGCCAUCCUCGAUAGGCCAAAGUCGGCGAGCUUGGCGUUGAAAUUUUCAUCCAGGAGUACAUUGCAUGGUUUGAUGUCUCUAUGCAGGAUAUGUGGGUCGCACUCGUGAUGUAGGUAGAGCAGGCCCGAUCCAAUGUCCUUGGCUAUUUUGUACCUGUUUGAUCAUAGUUAGAUAGCUACAUAGAUUGGCCAUAAACAUUCUUAGUUAGUUAAUUUAAUGCCAACAGAAACCAUACUUUCGAAGCAACAUAUUGUAGUUGAUUUUAAUGUUGUAUUUGUCGAUUUUUUAAGACAAGCCAUGGUAGGAUUGUAAUUUAUGAUUUGUUAAUAAAUUUGUUGAGUGGAAGCUGCAUUAUUUAACUUUGACAAAUCGGUGUGUAUCCUAUUUGGAAAAAAAAAGAAAAAGAUAUGAUUACCUAAAAAGUUUUGCAUAUGAUUUACCUAGACAUUGUAAUGUUAGCAAAAACACACAAGAUAAUUGAUAAACGAACAAACUGAGUACAACUCCAUACAUAUUAAUUUAGAACUUUAAAAAUUAUUAUAUUAUGAGGCAUACUUAAAUAUGAGUGGUUCCUAAAAUCUUGCAUGCAUUAAGAAGUGUUCCUCUUUAAUAAAGAAGAGGGCACGAAAAGAAAAAAGUCAUUAGCACGUGAUUAAUUAAAUUUUAAUUUCUAUAAAAUUGAAAAAUAUAUUUAUCUUACAUUUUAAAACAAUUUCUAUACAUAUAUAAUAUUUUCACACGAAACACGUUUAGUAAUAUGACAAACGUGCUAACAGAAUGUAAGGUGCAGUAUGUAUUUGAGGAAAAGAACACCAAUCUUAGGUGGCUGGUAAUAAGAUAUAAGGGACCUAAGUGAACUUAUUCCUAUACUUAUUACACUAGAAAAACGGUUUUUACGAACACCUCUAAUUGAUUGCAGGUAGGCUAAUAGAACUUUUGUUUGUAAUAAGAUUUGGAUGGUGUCUAGUAACAAUUCAUCAGUGAAAAUGAACCUAUUUUUCACAUACAGGUCUCUAGUCAGGUCUAGUAAGAGAUCCGUAGGUGAAAACCAUUUCAGAGCACACGUCCUUUGCCAUUUUUUUCUUUUUUAGGUCCUCCUCACUCACUCCCUUUCUCCCUCGGCUUCUCGUCCUACUCCCUCCACCUCCGCCUCCUCUCUCAGCCCCUCUCCUCUCCUCCAUCUAUCCCUCCUAAUGGCCAAAGCGAGGCGAGUAGUAGGCGGAUGCAGGGCAACGCCAAGAUUGAAGCACCGGUGGGUGCAGGGCGUGCCGUGAUAGGAGAACUGGGUCGGCGUGGGGUGUGCCGCGACGGGAGCAACUGGCCGGCGAGGGUCAACAGCUUGUCAAGCGGAUCCGUCACCUCCGGCCCUGUCAGGGUAGAUCCAUCGCUGACAGCGAAGGGUUGGGGUGGCAAGGGCGGAGGGCAACCACGAGGAUGAUGGAGGGCUCAGGGGCGGUGGGGUGGUGCAGUCCACCGCAGCCAGAUCCGACGCCGACAGCAUAGAGGUGGGGGCGAUGGGGCGUAGGGCGACCAGGAUGACGGCGGAGGGUUGUGGGAUGGAGGGGCGGUCCUUCAAAGCUAGAUCCACCACUGCCGAUGGAGCGGCGGGAAUGAUAGGGUGCCCCAAAGAUCCCAUGCAGGCGGCCUCGCGAUGGCUGGAUCCCAUGGCUCCAGCACUUGGACUGGUUGAUCCGCGUGGCACCAAUGAUGGCAUCUUUGGGGCAGUGUUGUAUUUUUCUUAUUACUAGAGAUGGGAUAUAGGGUUUGUUGGAAAUGGGAGCUAGGGUUUGUGCAUUAUUUUUUUUUUUGAAAUUUAUUUUGCCAAUUUAAGUUUUGCAGACGGGCAGCAUAAUGUACUCGCGUGCGAAAAUCCCUUUUUCGCACACGGUUGUGUAAAAAAGAAAACCUUUUCUGCUAACACAAGCAGUUGCUUUGCCCACGUGAAAAAAUGUGUUCGGCACGCGUGGAAAAAUUGUUUCUCUAGUAGUGUUAAUUUCAAAUGUGAAAAAUAAUAGUUUAAAAAGGGAACUUAAAGCAAAGACGAUUUGAAAAGAUGAAAACAACAGAAUAUAUGUUAGGAUGAAUAUAGUAUAUUUUCUAAAAUGCGCCGAUGUCACCUUGUUUGCCAAGAAAGUACUUCUGAUGACUCGCUUUUGUACAAGUAGUCGUUGAGGUUGCCGUUCGUCAUCAAUUCAUAGACAAGGAAGAGCUCAUUGUUCUUCUUACUCCAGAAACAGCUGCACAUGAAACGGAGAAUGUUCCAGCUGUGUCCCCGGGAGCACCAACCAAAAAACUUGACGAGAUUCUUGUGCUUGGCUUCGCUGAUAGUGCGGACUUCGGCGAAGAAGUCCUUGUGUCCUUCGCUGGACUCCCUCACAAUUUUCUUCACAGCAACUUGAUGGUCCAGCAGCUUCAGGUGUCCGCUGUACACUGCCCCAAAGGCGCCCUGCCCAAGCUUGCGAUCCUCCGAGAAAUGGUCGGUCGCAGCUGCCAAAUUGCGGUAUUCGAACCUCCUGGCGCCGCCUGUUCCCUUGUCGAAGACAUUUCGAAUCCUUUUCUGCUCCCAACAAGAGAGUAAGAACCACAAAACUAGCGCAAACACUAGAGCUCCUCCAAUGAUCAGUUCAACCAGCAACCGUGCUAUAUUGUGUGUAUCUGCACAUGCAAAUCAAUAGCAGUAUAUAAAUUUCAAUCAAGCUAAACAUAUUGGUAAGUCCAAAAUUUCAGUGCUAUGUUUAUGUGCAAUUUCAGUUUUCAUUUGAUCUGCAAUUCUGUUAUUGUCUAUGGUUUUAUUUUGUUUUAUUAUAAGCUUGAUUACAACUACAUCAUCAUCUAAUUGUUUAUCAAUUGUAAAUUUAUUUCAUGCUUAAGUUAGAAUAAUUUAUGCUCAACUUUAACCUAAGAAGAAUAGAGUUUGUUUAUGAAGAGAAUGUAGGAUAUGAUUAGAGUUAUUUGAUUUUGAUCCAAUGGAUGAGAAAAAACUAGUGCAAUUUUCAAAAUUUUCAUUGAACAAAAAUGUGGAUAAGAAAUAAACAUUAAUUCAAAAAUAGGAAAUAAAGGGGAAGCAGAAAAAGAGUAAGAGAUAAGAAAAUGCACAUUGAAAAAAAAGGAGAAAAAAAUUCUAGCUAUAUAGCACAAGGAUCCCAUCUAAAUCAACUAAAACCACCAAUAACUUAGAGUACCAAUUAAUUGUUUCCCCAAAAAGAACUAGGACUUCUCAUCAAUACCACAAAACUGUGUAUUUUUUCUCUGAAUUCCUCAUUUGCCCUUACCUCAUGUUCCUAUUUGUCUUUCUUAUCCCAGAAUGGAGAAAGUAUUUUGGUCCUCGAGUGAAUAUUCUGUCGCGGGAUCAAAAACCGUUCCAACAUCAUUAUAAAAAAUUCCAAAACAAUUUGGCAACAUUCAUUCAUGGUCAUUUUAAGCCUAAACUCAAUUCACUCAUUGAGAUUAAAAAAAAGGACAAUUCCAUUUUAUCUACAGUACUGCGCGCGCCUCUCUAUGAUAGGCCGAUGCACCCCCAUAUACAACCACCAUCUCACUGUUGAUCUGGGCGACUCCGUGGUUGGGCGUGCGUGGAGCUCACGGUCGGCAUGCUGCUUAAUAGUGGUCACACGCACGACAAUAGCGGCAUGCUGGUACAAGCAGGAUUUGAAAUUUUGAAAUCAGCUUUUCUGCCGAGGGGAGGGGAGAGGGGGGGGGGGCAAAAGAACCGAAAUUUCGAAAAUUUCGGAUUUUUUUCGUCCAAAAUUUUUUGAAAUUUUGACUGGUUUUAAAUGAAUUUGAAUAAGAUUUGAUAAAAUUCACAAAAAAAUGCAAAAAACCGAAAGUUUCGGGCGAGAUGUGAGCAUUUUUUGGGGGGGGGGGGGGGCCGAAAUUACCGAAAUUUCGGAAAUUACAGAAAUUUCAAACCCUGUGUACAAGUCCAGUAGCUAUCCGAGGCCUCAUGGCCGGGCAACCAUGCAGUGGCGCUGGGCUCGGUUGACAUCUCUUCAUGCAGAAAUUAUAAGCUGCUUAAUAGUCGCCAUAGAAGUCUCCAUGGAUCUAGCAUGGAUGUAAUCUGGUGGAGAAUAGGCUUAGUUGCUUUUUCUAUUUUGUAAGUCCUUCCAAGAAAUUUAGCCAUCUUAAAGGAGCCUCAUUGCAAAACUGCCUGUACUUGUACUUGAUAUGUAUCUAAUUAUUUACGAUCAAUAAAAUGUAGUUCUAAAAGAAGACCUGGUGGAAACCUGGACUAGAACGAAAAAACAAAAAACAAUCGAUUUGUUGUCAAGUCAAAAAAAAAAGGGGCUGAAUUUAGAAUUUUCGUAAUAUUAGUCAGGAUUUCGUCGGUUUAUCAGCGGUUUCCGUGAAAUUCGUUCGUGAGUGGUUUUUGAUUCAAUAUCGGAAUUAUGAACCCUGAGCACGAUGAAGAACCAAACGAGGAUGCUUGCGGCUAGUCCAAGAUUAAUGUCAUCAUGUCAUAUUUUUUGUGUUCUUGGAUUGAGGUGAAAUAUCUGUUACCCAUGGAAUUCUCUCGACAAGAAAUUGAGCCUAUAUAUUACUACCUCCAUAUUUUAAUGUAUGACGCCGUUGGUUUUUUAUCCAACGUUUGAUCAUUCGUCUUAUUCAAAAAAUUUAUGUAAUUAUCAUUUAUUUUAUUAUAACUUGAUUCGUCGUCAAAUGUUCUUUAAGCAUGACAUAAAUAUUUUCAUAUUUGCACAAAAAUUUUGAAUAAAACGAAUGGUCAAACGUUGGUCGAAAAGUCAACGGCGUCAUACAUUAAAAUACGGAGGGAGAAUUAUCACGUACCUUGGUGUAUUAGCGGAAGGCUUGAAUUGAAAGACCAGGACAGUAUCUGGCAGAUCUCCACGCAUCCGGCGGUGGCUGCAGAAAACCCCACAGCAACCUGCGGGCCGGGCGGAGGUGUGCCCUUGAGAUGUUCUGUCAGGUUUGCACUCACCACCUGAGCGUGGGCCGCGGAUGAUGGAUGGUCAAGAAACCGAAGGUAGGCGACCAGCAUCCCUGUGCUGCUGUUGAAGACGAUGUCGGCUAUCAUUGUCCCAUUAAGGGUUACGUUCUUUGGCAAGUAUGUGGUAAUGGCAGAAUCCUUGACAGAGUUGAUGUCGAUGGCGAUGUGGUCGGUCUUUUCCUUCGGGUCAUUGUCAAAUCCGAUGCCGAUGUCGAACUCGACGGCGAUGAACCGAUCAUCCGGGGCGAUAUUGCUAGUGGUCGUCUUAUCAGUGAUGAGUCCGAGGUUGCCCCCGGCCGACCUGUACGGCACUUUAGAAGGGAAACUGGCGAGGAAGAAAGCCAUGCCAUCACCUCUGCAUGUACCGUUGCCUUCGAUGGGCCUGAUGGCGAAGGUGAAGCUCGUGGAGAAGCUGGCCACCUUGCUAAUGCGGCCGUUGGCUGCUAAUUGGUAAAGCUGCACCGGAUGAGCAUACGACAUCCGGCCACCGCGCCUGCAAACCUGGUCGUUCCAGGUGCAGGUGAGUUCUACCGGCGCCCCAGCUUUCUGCGGCUCGAUCGCGUCGUCCUGGAAUACGAGAUCUUGGCGGUACGUGGAUGGGUGGUCGGCUGAGAAGUUGAAGCUGAACACAGGUGGCGCUGCUGCUGCUCCAGCGAUGAGGUGAUCAGAAGCAUCAAGCAGCAUGGAGAGUAAGAAGAGGAGGAGGCCGAGGUAGCCAGGGCGGAGGAGCUGCGACAUUGCUACAGCUAGCAACAAGAGUACGAAUUCGGCAUUAAUGUGAUUGAUGGUCUAAUUAGCUAUGGCGGCUUGGCCGAGGGUACGUACUUUUAUAACCAUAGACAGAUGGAAUCCCACCUACUCUCCUGUCCUAAAAUUAGUUAACUUGGUACAAAACGUGAUACACUCUAUUAUUAUGGAUCUGAACAGGUCUAGUAGUAUUAGAAUUAACGUUAUAUCAUAUACUCCAUCCGUCUCAAAAAAUGAGCAUUUUUAUAACUAGAAAGAUAGCCCGCGCACAUGCAUGGGCUUUUAAUAUAAUGUUGUUUGAAUUUUUGUUAAGAAUAUUUGCACGCGGGUGAUUUUUUUUUCUUGAAAUAUUCUUUGAUUCUAUUCUAAACCUGUUUGACGUAGAACUUGCGCCCAUCUAGGAUUUAUGCAUCUGUGGCAUGCACUCUGCAUUUCUACUAUAUUAUUAGCACAAAGGUUUAAUGCAUGCCAUAGUGGAUGCCAGCGUGAUCAAACCUUUUCAAUCAUCCGCCUUAUUCUAAGUUACAAGGAUAUACUAGCUAGGUACGCACUGCAUGCAUGUGCUUUAAUUUGUAGCCAUGUAAUAGAAAUAAACUAUGGGAAUUAAUUAAAGGUAACGCACUCUCAUCUAUAAUUGUUUUGUACAACUAUAUCUGAGCACCACAUGAGCAUCACUACCAUUCCAGGGAAUGGGAUAGAUCCCCAGUUGCUUCUGCUACAUCUGGAUUUACUAAAAGUGCUAUAGCUCUUCCACAUGCUCCAAAUGAAUGUAGGUAGUUACUCCUUCCGGUUCAGGUUAUAAGAUAGUUUGACUUUGGUCAAAAUCAAACUGUUUCAAGUUGAUUAAGUUUAUAUAUAAAUAUAGUAAUAUUCAUAAUACUAAAUUAGUUUCAUCAAAUCAAUAAUUGAAUAUAUUUUCAUAAUAAAUUUGUCUUGGCCAAACUUAAAGUAGUUUGACUUUGACCAAAAUCAAAACGUCCUAUAACCUAAAACGGAGGGAGUAAUUUCCAUUGAAAGAUGCCAUCUUCAUAAGAUGGCCUAAUAGCAGAGAAAACACAAGUAUAAGAAAAUAUUGUUAUUGAUUUCAUAUACAUUGUUUUAUUAAUUAUCUCGUAGUAUUUUAAGUUAUGUCAUCUUAAUUGACCCCAGGCUGUAUUCAGUAUUAAAAAAAAAUUGAAAACAUUACAAGGGGGUCAAGAAAUAGAACUGAACUUUCCACAUACACAAAAAAAGAAGAAAUCUGAACAUAUUUUACUCCCUCCAUUCCAAAAUAUGAGGCACAACCACCCUUAACCCAAAGACAAAAAAAUAAUUAUUAUCAUCUUGUAGUUUGGAUCAUCCUACUAAAUAUAAUGCAUGCGUCCAAUAGAAUUAAAUAACAUGAGAGUGGAGGAUUUUAAAAAAGUAAUAAUUUAAUGGAGAAAAUGUCAUAGUUAAUUGCAUGCUUGCAUGCAUGCCUUAUACUAUGGAACAUUUAGAAAAAGUGGUUGUGGCUUAUAUUAUGGAAUGAGGAAGUAUAAUUUUGUAGAAAUCUGAAAUAGGGAGCCGUUAUAAAUUAGGUUAAUUAGAUCUAUGCCAUUAAAUUUUUUUUGGUUUUGAAAUAUACCACUACUAUUUGCGUAUUUGUAACGAUGCCACUGCUGCUUUUUUUUAAUUUGAGUGGUGCCACUAAGAUACGUAUUUUACAUGUAUUGAACAAAAAUACCCUCAUCUUCUACCUCUCUUCUCUAUCUUGUCCCUCUCUCUCUUCCCGUUGCUUCUUGCUCCGCCGCUCGCUGCUGCUACCGCCGCCACUUGCCACCAAGCCGCUCGCUCCGCCGCUUGCCACCGAGCCGCUCGCUUCGCCGCUGCUGCCUGCUGCCGCUCGCCGCCGCCGCCGCUGCCGCUGUGCCGCUUCUGCCGCCGCCCGCUGCCGCGCUGCUGCUCCACAGUUGCCAUCGAACAGGAAGAAGGGAGAAGAAGGGGAGAAAGAAGAAGAUGGGCAAUUACGUUUUUUUUAUCCAUUGCAAUUACGUUGUUUUUUUAAGCCAACAUUCACCUCCCGUGCGUUGAAUGAAAAAAAUAAACACGGGAACACUCAUUCUAUUUCGCGCCAACGGUAAAAUGGGAUGCGCCAAAUUGAGCUGGACGUGCCUCAAAGAUAUCCGUUCGUGCCAAUGAGAAAAAUAAUAUUCGUGGCAACAGAGUUCGACGCGCACAGACAGAACGUAGGUGGAUUUCGGUGUAACCGUGAGUCCUCUCUAAGACACGGUAUGCGCUUGAUGAUUCCCGAGUUUAUUGCUCUACGCACGGUAAAUUACAGUGUGACACCCGGUAUUCGCAUGCACACGGGAGCCUUCCCUUCACCAUUAGUGUUGGUUGCAAGCCGCAUGGCAUUUCCAAGGGCUCGCUUUACAUAAUUUUGCUUAAAGACCGGCUUUACGCUCCCCUUCUAAGCCAGGAUUUCGUCUAGUCUACCAGGAUAGCCAUUGGCAUCGCCCGCAUGGUUCGACAAUGUCUUGUAAGUUCGCCUGUAAUAUACUUGUGAAGGUCGAUGCCAGGAACCAUCGUUGGGUGUUUCACCAUGAGGAACAGGAGGUAGUUGUGUUGGAUCGUAAUGGGCUAGCCAACCUUGCGUGAAACGAUGGUGCCGCCGGGGAGGAGAUAGUCAUGGAAUUGCCAAUGCGGAGAGCUCCUUCUUCGGAGAAGAAGCCUAUGCGGCUAGGUGGCCACACCACUCCCUGACUCCUCUUUGCCAGAAGCCUUCAUGGCAACUGUUGAGAGAGGUGCUCAUGCACCUCAGAUGGGGAUACGCCAAGCAUCCUUAUCAGGGAAUUGCUAUGGCAGCUAUAAAUUUUAUAGCUGCCAGCAGAUGGGGAUACGCCAAGCAUCCUUAUCAGGGAAUUGCUAUGGCAGCUAUAAAAUAAGGAUGCUUGGCGUAUCCCCAUCUGAGGUGCAUGAGCACCUCUCUCAACAGCUGCCAUGAGGGCUUCUGGCAAAGAGGAGUCAGGGAGUGCUUUCUUCCAGAAACAGAUUGCCGGACUAGCGCCGGUGCUGGGGUUGCCAUGGGCAACCCUUGCAGCGAGCAACACCACAAUGAAAAGAUGCAUGCUUAUCGAUGGUGUGUGGGAUUUGAUGAGAGGUGAUGGAGGUCUUGCGUUUAUAUAGCCUCAAGGGAGGUUGUGGGUGCAGGUGAUCCUUAGCGAUCAUAUUAGAUCCUAGCUUACACCUCCUUGUCACCCAGUAGGACUAAAAUAAUUAAAGGCCUGCAGCUCAACCGUCAUACUUCCGGUAUUUGAUAAUCAGAAAAUAAAGUGUUGGUACUGUACCACUGAGUUGGCAUCCUUAUGUAUUGAUAUAAAAAAUGUAUAAGUGGCCAGCUAGCUAUUGCGAAAAAAUAAGUAGAUAUAUACAAGUCAUUAUAUAGCUAGUAGUCUUGUUCCUAACACCCUAUUCCUGCUAGAGUUUUUGUGACUGGCCGUCAUAGUAGUGUACUUCUCAUUAUUAUUUUUUUAAGUGAUCCGUGCAAGACAGUGCGAAGUUUCAUAUUGUUAUACCAGAAAAAAUUAUAAGAUUAUAAUCCUGAAAGAGACAAACAAACACACACCACCUUUCCUUGCUACUAGCUUCUCACACGAUGUCAAAAACAAAUGAAUAGGCACUUGUACAAAACCGGCCACUGCUAAGCAUGACCGAUCACCGCAAGACCUACCUAGCUAGCCGGCUGUCGUCCAAGUGCUGUCUCCUGGCUAGCCCCUACAACCUAACAAGUCGGCACCGCUGCCUCCAACUUUGGACUGCCCUUUGCGCCUCCUGCCUUCCGUGCUGCGCCGUCGAGGGAGGCCUUGCCAAGCACCAUCGGGGAGGCCUAGCCACAGGUUGUCCAGGCCGCGGGAGAAGCCACAGACGCCUGCUGCAACACUCUACCUGCCUUCCGGCACUGCCGGUCAGGUUCUGUCCGCCAGAACAACUCCCGUGUCGCUUGGAUGUGCUCGAGCUGGCUACACAUCUAUCACUGCCCCGACUUUCACUAGUGAGCCACCGCCUUCCCCGUCGCAGCAUCGUGUUGUCGUCCCGAAAUCCUUGACAUCUCGCAUGAACCCUAGAGGCGGUGGUAGUGGUGUGGUGGCAGGGGUGCAACGGCAGGGAUUGCCUCCCAUGUCGCCGCAGCCCUAGGUUCGACACGGGAGCUUGGCUAAAUAAUUGGUAGAUACCCCUGAUUGAUUAUUUUCACUUAAUCCAGAUGGUUCUACGCCGUCAGGAAAACCCAUUUUCUUGUAAUGAAGAAGCAAGCAGUGUUGCAUUAGAAUAUAUUAUGCAACCAAUGAUGAAUAUAAAUACGUUAUUUGACAUUGGAAAAGUGAGAUGCGAAGGGCCGGAUAUCACUUGUUCGCUGGUUAACAAUUCUGAUUCUGUCACUAGCACGUAAAUGAACAAGCAUGGGAGGUUUUCGCAGCCAUGAGCAACGAUCCUCUUUGCACCCAAAAAGAAUGACCUGGCCAUCUGCUUGCAUGGUUUUCCACCAGCGAAAUAGAUGUUGACAGUUAAUGUACGUAUACAUUUGAGAGUUUCGUAUUAUAGAGAUCUGGAUUUGUUAAUUGUCCAUUUGCCCUGUAAUAUUUUUUAUUUGGCUUGGAUUGGAGAAGAAAAUACAACAUUUUAUGUUCUUCAUUGGCUUGCUAUUAAUUGAGCAGUCGCAACUUUAAUUUUAUGAUGAUAUUAAAUAUAUAUAUAUAUAUAUAUAUAUAUAUAUAUAGUAAAUUUGUUUGGUGCUCCAUGGUGCCCGGGCACCAUUGUUGAAAUUGAGUAUAUACCCAAUUCAAAUGAGUAUGAAUCUUUUUCAAUUACUUAGGUAUUAACAUUAACUACUUUACUAACUAAUUCAAAGCAAGUUUGAACUGAAUUUGAACUUGUUUUUGUUAGAUUUUGAUUCUAGGUAUAUAGCAUCCAUACAUAUAAUUAGUUAGGUAUGUAAUCAUGGAUUGUGAAAUAAAGUUAAAUUUGAGUUGUUUUGUUGAUAGGUAUAGGUAUGAAUCGAAUUAUUAUAACUAGGUAUAUACUCACAAUUUGAAAUUUUGAAAAUUUUGAGUGAUUUUAUACAUUAGAUACCAUGGUGCCCGGGCACCAUGGUGCCCCAUAUGAGUGUCCUAUAUAUAUAUAUAUAUAUAUAUAUAUAUAUAUAUAUAUAUAUAUAUAUAUAUAUAUAUAUAUAUAUAUAUGACGAGGUAACUAUUGCACACAAAAGAUGUGUAUAUAUAGUAGUCUUACUCAUAACACGAUCUUUCUAUUAAACCUAUCGUGACAUUGUCUAUUGUACUCGUGAUGUUUUUUCACUUAAUCCCGAUGUUUUCCCGCCAUGAGCAAAACUGUUUUCGCGUAGUGAUGCAGGGAGUGUUUCAUGUUAGAAUAUAUUAUGUCACCGAUGAUGAAACUAGCAGAUACGAUCGAUAUUUAGCAUUGGAAGAGCAAGAUGUUUUCGGUUAGUGAUACAAGGUUUCGAUUUGAGUUUCAAAGUUGAGAAAAUAAAGUAUAUACAUUUAUGAAGCAAACAGGGGCCGAUCGAUCUAGCAUGGGGGUGGCGGGGUCUCAAGCCCUCACUAUUGGCGUGAGGACCAUGGAGCCCGCACGAAGCCCUCGCUAAAAUUGUUUGCUCUAUGCAGAUUUAAAGAGAGCUAUAGCUUUGUUUAGUUUGUUUAGAUCCGUCGCUGGAAGCAAAUAGUGUUGCGUCAGAAUAGAUUAUAUAUGCAACCGAUGAUGAAAAUUAUGUUAUUUGACAUUGGAAAAGGGGAUAUGCAGAGGCCUGGAUAUCACUUGUUUGCUGGUUGGCCAAUCGAUCAGAUUCUGUCACUAGCACGUAAAUGAACAGGCAUGGCAGCUUUCGAAGCCAUGAGCAAGGAUCAUCUUUGCACCUAAAAAAAGACCUGGCCAUAUGCAUGCAUGGUUUUCCACCAGAAAUAGAUGUUGACAAUUAAUGUACGUAUACAUUUGAGAGUCUUGUAUCAUAGAGAUCUGGAUUUAUUGUCCAUUUGGCUUGGAUUGGACAAGAAAAUACAACGUUGUUUUAUGUGCUUCAUUGGCUUGCUAUUAAUUAAGGAGUAGCAUCCUUAAUUUUAUGAUGAUAUUAAAUAGGUCUAUAUCUCUGCUAUUAUAAAAAUUAAAGAAAUAUAGAUCUGUGUUUGAGUAUGUCAUCCGUGUUUGAGUCGGUUUUUAAGUUCGUUCGCUUUUAGAAAUAUAGAUCCGUGUUUGAGUUGGAUUUUAAGUUCAUUUGUUUUUUGGAAAUACAAAAGAGUCGUAUAAGAAAUCUUUUUAAAUAAACUCGCAUGCUAACUUGAGAUGAAAUAUAGACUUCUAAUUGAAGCCUAUGAUUUUCUUAAAAAAAAUAUCCAAGCGAAUUCCCCCUAGCUAAACCAUAUAACAACAGCAAAAUUAAAAUGGUAUUUACCCGUUGCAACGCGUGGUAUUGUUUCUAGUGUACCCCCUCCCACCUCCCAUCCGUCCCCACCUCCCUCCCUCCCACGCCCCCUCUUCCUCUCUCCCUCCCGUCCUCCCGCGUCCCCUCUCCCUCCUCCCAUCGCUCCUCCCCUCCCAUCACUCUUCCUCUCUCUCCCUCCUCCCCUCCCAUCGCUCUUCUUUCUCCCUCCGUCCUCCCACGCCCCCUCUCCCUCCUCCCGUCGCUCCUCUCUCCUUUUCUUCUUUUUUUUUCUCUCCCUCCUUCUUCUCUUUUUUAAAAAAAUUAAAAAUAAAUUGGUGAAUUCAAGACUUGAACCCAUGAUCUCAUGGUUCAUGGCGAGCACUUCUAACCAAAUCACCAUAUGAUGAUUUGUUAACAAAUCAAUUAUGUACCUGUAAUAAUCAUACCUUGUUACUAUGAUUCGACAGUAACAUUAUCGCAGAAGGGUAGUAACAUCAUAUGUUACUGCAAAAAUGUAUAGGUUGUUACUGUAAACUUUAUAGGUUGUUACUGCACUUUCAGCAGUAACAGAGAACAUGCAUAGUAACAGUGGCCCUAUAGUAGUAAUGUUUUUUAGAUCUAGAGUAUUUUAAAUAUCAAUCUUUAGAGAGUACUAACGUACAUGUCAUGUCUUAUUUUUCUAACUCAUUUGCAUCAUGGCGUUCAUAAAAAAAAAGUUCUUAACGAAACUAGAACCAUAAUAACUACUUUUUAACGUUGUUACUGCGAAAAACAGACGUGUUACUGCAUAUUAGCCGUCGUGUUAAUACGCUGUUCCAGUGAGACGAGGACUAAAAAAGAGAUAAAUCUCAAUCUUUAGAGAGCAAUAUCUCUCACAUCAUAUCUUGUAUUUCCAAUCCGUUUGCACCAUGAAGUUCAUAAAAAAACGCUUAACGAAACUAGAUCCAUCAUGGCUACUUUUUGACGUUGUUACUGCGAUAAUGUUGUCUUGUUACUGCAAGAUGACCGUCCUGUUACUGCACGAUUCCUGCAAGACGAGAGCAGCAAAGUGGUGGGUAGGGGAGGGAGUGGUGGGCGGGUUUGACCGGCGGGAGGACACUUUGACCAAGGUGGGAAAGGGGUUUUGGGCCCUAGGGAGGGUGGGGAAGGUGGGAUUGGCCCAUGGGAGGGGGGUUUACAAUAGUUAUUCUAGGGGAGGGGUGUACAAUAGAUUCACUAUAUAUAUAUAUAUAUAUAUAUAUAUAUAUAUAUAUAUAUAUAUAUACACUAGCAAAAGUGCCCGUGCGUUGCACCGGGUGAUUACGGAGUGUGUAUAUUGACCAAAAUUGUUGUUUAGUUUAGCAAAAGUGCCCGUGCGUUGCACUGGGAAGCGCACAGAUCAGUAAAAAUAUGCAAAUUAAUUAAAAUACAAAUUCGCUGAAAUAUUUAGUAUUUUUAAGUAGGUAUGUGUAUAAUUAAAUAAAUUUACAAGUAAAGCAAGUGCGAGAAAUAAAAUGACAUUGUUAAAUUUAAUUUUAUUAAAUUCUCCAUGAUUAGUUACGCUCUUUGGAAUUUUAUUGGAAUUUUCAGAACUUAAUUGCUAAUUUUAAUAAUACAAAUAUCAUUUAAUAAUUAUUUAAUUGGAAAAAGAAAGAAAAUCCUUCCUUUUAGGUUUGCUUAGAAAUAAACACAUUUAAUAACUAUAAUUAUAAAUGCUUCUGAAAAAAUGAAGCACUAACUUCUCUUUUUUUUUUCGGCCUGAGGGACCUAAUACAGACUUAUUUCUGGCCUGAGGGACCUAAAAUAGACUUAUUUCCGUCCCUUCCGGUCGGCCCACGGCCUUAUCAAAACCCUAACCCUCCCCACCCCUCCCCCCCGCCCCCUCCCCAACUCAUUCUCCUCCCUCUCCCACCGCGAGUCGGCGAGUGGCGGCGGCGGCGGCGGUAGCGACCGGCGAUCUCGCGGCCGAGGCGAGGCGGCGGCAUACCUGCCCUACCGCGGGCAACGACUGGUGGCGGGGGAGGCGGGCGACUGGGGGGAGGGGGAGAGGCGGGAGAGGAGGGGAAGCCAACACCACUACACGAGAAGGAGGAGGGGGAAGCGCCGCCGGAAGGGAGGGGGAGGGGAAGCGACGCCGGUGGCGGGGGAAGCUGCCAGCUGGGGGAAAGGGGGAGAACCGGCAUCCGCGGCGCGACGGCGGAUCUGCCCCGAGAAGGAGGCCUAGAGGGCCGGCGCUUCUCUUCCCCCUGGGCGGCGGGGGAGGGCCGGCGGCGGGGGAGUUGUGNNNNNNNNNNNNNNNNNNNNNNNNNNNNNNNNNNNNNNNNNNNNNNNNNNNNNNNNNNNNNNNNNNNNNNNNNNNNNNNNNNNNNNNNNNNNNNNNNNNNNNNNNNNNNNNNNNNNNNNNNNNNNNNNNNNNNNNNNNNNNNNNNNNNNNNNNNNNNNNNNNNNNNNNNNNNNNNNNNNNNNNNNNNNNNNNNNNNNNNNCCUCUCCCCCUCCCCCCAGCCGGCGGCUUCCCCCGCCACCGGCGCCGCUUCCCUUCCCAUCUCCCUCCUUUCUCGCCGGCUCGGCGCGGCAACGGCGGGGUUCGGCGGAGACGGCGCCGUCCCAACGGCGGCGACGACGGCGUCCGCGGCGGCCGCGCUCCCUCUCCCCCCUCCUUCCCGUCUCGUCGGCUUGGCGCAGCGACGGCGGGGUGCGGCGGAGACGGCGGCGACGGCCGUCCCUCCCCCCCUCUCUCUCCCCGUCGGCCUCGACGGCGACGGCGCCCUCCCAACGGCUGCGAUGGCGUCGGCUUCAUCCGCGUGCGGAUUCGGCAGCGGCGGCUCCCUCCGGCGGCAGUGGUGGCGUCGGCGGCCGCCCUUUUUUUUUUUUUGCAAUUUUUUCCAUGGCUAUUGCUAACCGAAUAGGAUUGUGCAUGGACAAAAGAUGGACGAAAAUUAGAUGUCAUAUAGAUUUUUUUUCUAGAUCGGACUUCUUUUUUUUUCGCACUUUUUUACGUCCGGUUAUUUUGGAUCGGAAAAACCUGGUUUUUUUCGCCCGGUUUUUUUUUUUCACCUUUUUUGUUGGAUCGGACUUUUUUUCGUCCGGUUUUUUUGAUCGGACAAACUUGGUUUUUUCUACCCGGUUUUUUUUCACCCGGUUUUUUUGACGGACGAUGGAAGCACCUCUUAUUUUUUAAGUAGUAGUAGAGUAGAUAUAGAUAUAUAUAUAUAUAUAUAUAUAUAUAUAUAUAUAUAUAUAUAUAUAUAUAACUACUAUAUGGCGCUAUAGGCGCCACGUAUUAGAUGGCACCACACACACAACCAACCACCCUGUCCCACCCCCACGCGCACUCAAUUUAAACAGACCAUGUAGUUAAUUUUUAACUCAGUGACCCACCACCCCACCCAUCCCCACGCCAGUUAUUUUUUAACUGUUAGCGAGAUAGCCAAUGUGUGUCUUGUGAUCCAACGGUGUUUGCACAAUGAGUUAUUUUUUAACUCAACGUACAGACUUUAUAUAGUAUAUAUAUUACGGAUUUCCAUCGUAGAAACCGUCCACCCACUUUUUCCUCUCCGUCUCCACAUUUUAUGGAUCGUUGAUGGCUUGGCGACGAGGAGGAGCGGCGGUGGCGGCGGUUCGGGGACAAGCAGAACCGGCGUCGUGGAGGAGCGGCGGUGGCACGUCAGGCCUGAUGGCGUCGCAUCCAUGGCGGGCGCGGCAUCUGCGGGCGGGGGGUGGAUCCGGCACGGCACGGCUGCGACAAAUAUUCAAGAACAGCACAUACCAUUUUGCUUCAGCUAUGGAAUGAAACAAAAAUGAGAAGGAAGUCAGAGAUAAGUGCAAGAUUGAACUAGCUAGUUCUGAAUAUUUGUUCUGCUUCAAGCACAACAUCUCCAUGUGUUCUGAACUUAAAUACUGAGAUUCCUGAAGAACAGAUUCUGGAAGACGAGUGCAUUCCAUCUGAAUACGCGGUUUGCAGACGUCGGCUCGGUGACGACACAUGAGUCAGAAGCAAAUCAGGAUUCGAUAACGUUCAUGCUUUCCUUGACUUGACCUAUAAAGUAACGUCCUUAUUACUCCCGUCAAUGAAUAUGUAUAUCGUCGUAUUAAGAAGAUAGUGCGCUGCAUCAUGCACCUAACCGGCCUGAUGUUCUUUUUCAAUACGGGUGAAUCCGAAGAGAAUGAUGACUCUCUGAAUAGUGGAUGAAUUAUUAGAUCGGAGGGAUUGUGGUUAGGGAAUCUUUUAAAACAUAGACACUAUUUUACAGGAUUUUUAUAGAAAUUAGGAAGCAAUCACUACUUAAAAAAAGCAUUUUUGCCAACGUUGGGUCUCUUUUUCCGCAGACGGGUAUGACCCUCGGAGCCAAAUAUCUGUUAGAAAUUUAAUCAUAAUUCGGCAUAUUUUAAUCCAAAAUAACAAGAUAAUAAGCAUGUUAUUUACAAUGAGCAUGCUUAACAUAGCAUGUAAUCAACAUGAGCAUGCUUAACAUAGCAUAACCAUCAACAAUCACAUAAUAACGCAAUGUUGACAUUGCGAUGAAUAUUAACGGUACAACUUCUAAUUGAAAUAAUGUAAGAUGGUUAUACCCCAAAAAAGGUCCUCCGCUGGAGUUUAAGGCAGUAUUGCCUCUGUUGGUGUUGACAGGAGCAUCCUUCUCCUUGUCUCCAGCGUUGUCGUUGUCUUUAGUGUUCGAUAUGUUAGUGAAGACAAAGUAGACGUUGACGAACAGUCAGUAGUCGCACCUUGCGCUCCCCAAAAACCUGAUCGCCCACCCGUCCAUGCAAACGUCGUAGCAGUGCGUGGUUUCGGAGGCCUAUUCUCUCAAAGCGUGUGCACACACUCGUCGGGAUGGGAUUACCGUAGCAGCAAAAGCCUUGGAAAUGGAUGAAAGUGUGUCUCACUUCUCCUUAGGAAGAUAAAAUCCAUUCUCAUUUUAUAGGAGGAAUGGAAGAUGAAGAGUAAGAGUCAUGGAAUAGGAAGAGAAAUAGAGUAACUAAUUCUCAUCAAUUACCCAUCAACCAUCCUCUAUUACACAACCAUCAACCAACCAUCAAUUAGGAGUAAUUGAUGUAGGUUACCAACGGAAUAGGAAGAGCAAUAGACCAACUAAUUGUCAUCAACUAGCAACUAGCCAUGAACCAUUCUUCACUCCACAAGUAUCAACCAUCCAUCAAUCAGGAGUAAUUGAUAUAAGUUACCAAUUCACCAAUCAAAUGGAUUAAUUAUCAAAACUCUUCAUCCCAUUGAUAUCCCAUUAAGAGAAUGAAUACACAUGAAUUCCUAGCAUAAUGAGCCUUGGAAUUAAUGAUUUAAAUGAAUCAAUUACUCAAUUAAAUCUAACAAUAUUCACUUAUGAAAAUGUAAACCGAGGUGGAUUUUCAUCAUUCGAUUGCGAAAAUAAAUUUUUCCAAGCGAACCGCUUAAGAGGUCCGCCUGCGAAAAUACCUUUAUUUCUAUGAUUUUUGCAGGCGGAAACUUAUGUGCUCCGCCUAAAAAAAAUCAUGCCUACAUGAAAAAAAAAACUAAGUCCUAUCUUAUCUUCUCAUCUUCCAUCUUAUCCUCUCCCCACCACUCAUUCCAUCAACUCUCUCUCUCUCUCGCGGUUCCCUCCGGCUCCCUCCCCUCCGCUUCCUUCCUUCCGGUGGAGGCGCAAGCGAAGGGCGUCACCAUUGCCGGAUCCACCGCCCCCAUGCCACCCCACUGCUGCCGACGCCACCCUCCUCUCUAGGCGCACCACUGUCGAUGCCCAUCCACUCCAUCGGAUCUAGGAGGGAAGCAAGAGGAGAGGGAGGGGAGAGGUCGUGCUGCCUCGUCCGCGCUCUGCCGGCGGUCCCCCUCCGGCCAUGCAGGGAGGGCAGGAAGGGGAGGGGAGGGGAGAUAGAAGGAGAGGGAGGGGAGUGGCCGCGCACGCUGCCGUCGAGAGGGAGGCAGCCAUCAGGUUUAUACCAUGUUCGCUAACGGUAUGUAAAUAGGUUCACCUAAUUUGUCAUUGUUUAUAGAAUCAACUGAUUAAAAAGAUAGAUCAGGUUAGCUUCGAACGUGAGCUAUAAGCCUGUUGAGCUAAUGAAAUGUAAAGCACAUGCAUAGACGCUGAUUAAAUGUAAAGCACAUGCAUAAACUACACUACCACUAAGUUCAGAUCUUGUCCCGUGUUGUUCUUUCAGUUGUAGCUUCCAAGCUGUGCAUAUCUCAGGCCUAGUGUCCGUCAGUGAUCAACUGCAAGGCGCUGCAUACUAGCCAGCAGAUUCCAAGAGCGUUCGGUACGCCCUGUCUAUUUCACGUACUAUCUGGUUUUGUGUAGUUUUUUUCAUUGAUAUUAAUUCUUGCUCAACUAACACACAUGUGUUAGCAUCAGACGAUGCCUGGAUGGAUGGUUCGCACGGUGUUCUUGCUCAAUUCGUGGGUAAUCCGGACGUUGGUAGUAUUCAGCUUCGCAGCGCAUGUCACCAUCGUCUUCUUGGCAGGAGUCCGCCGUCAUAAGGCUAUCGGCUUGCCGAUAGCCAUCCUGUGGGCGGCGAACCAGCUGGGCCGGUCGGCCGCGACGUACGCGCUCAGCAAGCUCGCCCUCGGCAGCACGCCGCAGGAGCUGCAGCUGGUGACGCUCUGGGGGGCGUUCCUGCUGCUCCAUGCCGCUGGUCCGGACAACAUCACCGCCUACUCCUUGGAGGACAAUGUUCUGUCGACGCGCCAGAAGGUAGAAAUGAUCUUGCAGGUAUCAGGAGCAGCAUUUGCCAUGUACAAGAAUAUAGUCAUCAGAAGCGGGUCCGGUACGAUGGUCUGGGUCUCCUCUUUCAUGUUCAUCAUGGGCAUUUUUAAGUAUUGGGAGAGGGCGAAAGCUAUGCAGCUCGCCAACCUAGAAAACUUGCGAAGCUCAAUCAAGAAGAAGAAGGAGACAAGGAGACGACGAAGCUUGAGAAAUAUUAGGCGUCCAAGCAGUUCAAAGCAUGAUAAUGACAAGGAGGCACUGCUGGUUGCUCAUGGCCUGCUCGACAUCACCAAAGGCACCUUCGUCGAUUCUUCAGUCAACGAGUUGGUAUCAGAGCGAGUUCUCACCCCCUUCCUGAUGAGCUCUCUUCUGCUCAUUACUAGUGACAUUGCCAGAACGAUUCUUCUGCGCAGUAGUAAUUUGGAGCUCAACCUCCAUCCCUCGAGCCUCCUCAACUGCAUUGAGGUAUAUAGUAGGCGGGUUUCUUCCCAUCACUUCUCUAUACCGAGCAUUGAGCCCUCGAAAGAACUUCCUAGCCUUCUCACGCUCAUCACUUGCCACGCUAGGCACAAAGCGUACAAUACUGCUGAACUCCCGUUCAUACUCAUCAACAGUCUUGCUCCCCUGUUGGAUAUUGUUUAACUCAUCACUCAUCUUGUCCCUAAAUGAAUCUGGAUAAUACUUAGCUCUGAACUGCUGAAGAAAAACUUCCCAAGUAAUAGCACCACGAUCAGGGUUCCACGCUUCAACAACUCCAUCCCACCAAAUGUCCGCCUGACCAGUCAACUGAAAAGGCAUGAAAGUAACCUUCUCCUCAGGAGUCAUUCUUGAUCCCCUCAUAUACUUCUCCAUCUUGCGUAACCAGUCUGCAGCAUUAACGGGAGUACCAGACCCAUCAAAUGUGUCUAAGCGCAUGGAUGUCCAUCUAGUGAGUGUCAUCCCCCGAACAGCUCGAGGAGCAUCAUCAGAGACAGCAGCUGAGUGGCUACCACCCUCCUCCUCUUCCAUGUGCUCAUCCUCCAUCUGGUUCGAGGAUGCUGCCUCAUUAGGGCGACCUCUACCACGACCUCUUCCACGGCCUCCAGCACGGCCCCUACCACGACCUCCACGAUUCGGAAUAGGGGAUUCAGCAACCGAGUUGUUCCCAACCUCUUCAUUAUCCUGAGUAUUUUCAACUUCUUCAUUAUGGUGGCCCCUACCACGACCUCUACCUCCGCUUCUCCCGCGGCCUCUGUUAGCCAACCAAACACUCACUCUAGGCGGCAUAGCUAUAUCAAACACAAGCAUUUAGACGUCAUUAGUUUAACAAUAGGUUAGACAAUGGCAUGCAAGGAAACACAAUCAUACACAUAUAUAUGCAGCAGAAACAUAAAUGCUAGGAAUGAACCAUGCUCCCAUUCCUAUUGUGCACCAGUGUGUCAAGUUCUUUUAGAUGUUUAUAUAUAACCCAAGUUCUACUCUUAUUAUUUCCUACCCUAAGAGAAAGUAUUUUUUUUAAUUGGUUAGGAACUCUAGUUCAAAAUUUUAUGUUGAUUUAUAUAUCUCAUUACCCAGUCAAUUCCCAUGGACCUACCGCCCGCUCUGAUACCAACUGUAACACCCCAGGUAACCACGUACAUAGAAUGCCACACCAAAAUACACUCAAAAACUAAGUCCUAAAAUUAUUAGAAAUUUCGGCAGAGUCUCCCCUAAAAAUACGGACAUCACGACAGGCAGUUAUAAGAAAGGUCAAUACCGAUAUAAACCACACAAUCCAAACCAUCCUAGUGUAGACCCCCGAUUUUGGAAAUCGGAAAUCUUCUGUGUUUAUCCGUACCAAUCCCUGGAUCAGUAGUUGGUACACACAUACAUAGUUGGAUCACAACAUAUCACGAAUGAAUUUAGACUAAAAGAGUUAAAUACUUACAUUAGGGCCAGGUAGGCCAACAACUAUCAGAGAACAACAGCGGAAGACAAAAUAAUAUAAGGGCCCGGUUAACAUGCCACAGGCAGUCGACUGGGGAACGAGACCUAGAACAAGACCGCACUCCGAUCAUCUUGUGGGAUACGCAAGCGUACCGACAAGGGCUUCUCUUCAACACUCUCCUAAAAGAUAUAUAAAUAGCAAGGGUGAGUACCAACCGUACUCAGCAAGCCACCACAACAACAAUGCAUAUGAUAGAGGGUAUUUCAAGGAAUGGCUUCAGGUUCUUUUGGAUAAAGCUAAUUUUACAAUUCUUUUCACAAGCCUAAAACCUAGCAUAGACUGAUCAAAUUUUAGUACCAGUGUUCACUUUAAACAACGACGGUUCUGUCCACCAUCCAUUGUGAUCCCAAGGAUAGCUUCCCGCCAUUGAAUCGUCAUGGUUUUCUGAGGAUGUCCACCUUCCCUCCUCUCGGGAAGUGGCUCCAUCAGCAUAAAAUUCAUCAUGCAAUAUCCCAUUCCCCACAAGUUAAGAAUUUAGAGUCUAGCCAAGUGUAAUACAUGUCCCGGUGCUCAAUAACCGCGAGCACGGCUAUUCGAAUAGAUUUGGUUUACUCACACUGCAGUGGAUGUACACUUUACCCGCACUCCGCGACUGCCCAACACAUGAGCCUCGUCCCAACACAUGAGACGCGUCACGGCAAAGCUUUUCGAUAACCUCGCAUUGGCAGUACCCGCUCCAUGAACUUAAAUCCUCAUGCACUCUAGGCGUCCAUGUUUCUAGCAGUGAGAGGAGUUCUGGCGCUCCCGGGAAAGAGAAGUCUCACACGCAUAUUAAAUUAUGGUUCAAGUUAAGUUCUCUCUCUCACACACUCAUGACAGUCCUACCAAUGGCGACACCGAUGUAGGGCACGCCUCUCGGCCCUACCUCAACGGCUGUCCCAUUGUAGCGCACCUGUCUCACUCAGGGGUGAACCAUCUAUGCAGGGAUACUGCCUCCGCUCGGCUAUCUAAUCCGCUAGGUCUAUACCCAUUCGAGAAGUACGGUUGUACGGGGGUCGUUUCAUGCUUAACUUCAUGGCUCGGUCCUUAAUUGACCAGGGACGGUACUAGCCUUUUCCAGAUACCACCCAAAUCCUCCGUCCGCCCCAGUCGAAAACAGUUGUUUAAUUUUAUUUCUCCUUUCACAAAUCAUGUCAUCAACAUCAUGGCAAUGUGGCGCUCAUGUCUCCACAUGCCGCAUCUCAAUUACCUUCCCAAAGGUAAUUGCCCAAGCAUAUAGCAUUUGAUAAAUAUGAGUAUGCAUGAUUCUAGAAUGGCAUUUCUAAGCAAUUGUCAUAAUUGACUAGGGACUCAUACGUAAUCAUGGUUACAAGGAUUUUAAGGGUAAACAAUAAUCAAGGCAUGGCAUAAUCACAAGUAGGAUGUUCAUCAUUGCAUGAAAUUUUAUUUGUAAACAAAACAAUUUCGCAAUUAGGAUCAACAUGUUCAAGGAAUAGUGAUGACUUGCCUUGCUCAGGAUAAUCCUUAUUAUUGCUAUAAUCUUGAUCAACCUUCACCUCCUGUAAGUUGCAGACGUUGCCUCACGACUAACCGAUACACAAGGUCUAUAAUACGCGAGAAAAACCAAUAUUCAAACAACAAUCAAAUAUGCGCAACAAAAUGUACUACUUCGUGUUUGCUAAUGGAUCCCAAUCAUGCUAAGGCUAAAGUUUCUUAAUCUUUCUAUUGUCAUCGUGGCCUAUUUAGGAGUUAACCAACAUAGCAUUUAUGGGAUACAUAUAUAUUUGGCUAAUCAGUGGUUUAGUCUAUCAAAUGGCUAUGGAAGGAUUUUGGCUAUGUACGCAUCUAUCUAAAUAGGACGGUUAUAUACUAGAGGUUCUGUUGCUAGAUGGAUUUAGGAUCAAUCAAACAAUUACAGUGAUUCAUUUGUAUUAUUUAUUUUAUUGAUGGAAGCUUUACUUUAAUUAUGAACAUAUUUUACUUGCCAUUAUAAAUUAUAAAAGGGCUAAUAAUUAUCCCUGCUCUAUAUGUUAAAUUCGGGAAGUUUAUAAUAUUAUAUUUACAGAUUAUCUCUUAAUGAACAAUCCGGAUUUACAAUUGAACUAUGAACAUAUGAGGUCAAGAUUUAUAAUUAGUACUUAUCUAAUAUACAUGUUUGUCAAAAGAUGGGUUAUUGUUCCUAUGUAUGAUUUUAAAUGGAUUGUACAGUAUAUGUGAUCUAAGUGGGUUGACAAGUGAUUUUACUGUUUGGGUAAUUAUUGGAUGUUAACCGACUCAACCUUAUUUGGGUGGUUCUAUCAUAACAACUCUGUUCCUAUUCCUCAUAAAUAAAUUAAAGACUCAUCUAUGUGUAUUCAUGUUUGAUUUACCUAAUUAUAAGGCUAACUUUACUAUUUAAAUAAUCUAUAAGUCAUGGGUUUAAUAAUACAACCAUUACAUAGUGCUAGUAUCUUCCAAUACAUUAGUUUGAGACAUUAUUUAAAAUUAGUUUGUGUGGUUGUUACAGUGACAAAGCAUGUUAAAGGCCUAUAUCAUUACAUCUACUCUAUUGUACAUUAUCAAAUCUAUUUAUUAGCACAUUUUUAAGUUGACUACUAUGCAUCAUCUUGAUAUUAAUUAUUUAGUAAUUAAUAAUAUAUUUUCUUAAAUAAUGAAUUAUAUACCAUUGGAAAGCUUAUGAAUUUAGAUGAAUUUAGGAUCAAGUUUCAUUCAAAUCGGAGUUAAAAUGAAUAAGUUAUGCUAGUGUAAGGAUUCAAAUUCGAAUAAUUGCGAAACAGUACUGUUCACAUCCGAUUUAUUUUAAUCCGAAACCUAUCUACAGCUCAGAGUCACUGACGGGUGGGGUCAGGGGUCUUAUUAUCUUUUCUACCGAAUUAUUUUUGUUAGAGAAAAAUGGGGAGUGGGCCCGGCUUGUCAGUGGCUCGGCUGCUCUCUUUCUCUCUCUCGUUCUUUUCCUAUCGUCUUCUACCUCCAGACCGUGCGGGAGCAGCAGGGGCGGCGCAGCGCGCGCGGCAAGGCCGGCGGAGGGCGACCCGACGGCGACCAGGGGAGGGAGCGGCAAGGCUCCGGCGUCCACCUGCCGGCGGUCACGGCGUAGGACGGCGCGGGGGCGAGCAGCGCCGCACGGCCGCCAUGGCCGGGCACGGGUAGCUAGGUGCUAGGGCGAUACGGAGGGUUUCCGACCAAAUUGGUGCGGGCGUGAGCAUCUAUGACGUGUGAGGGUUCCAUUUUACUUAUUAGAUGGCUAGGAAGAGCUCCGGGAUGGCUUGUCCACGGCAAGCUCGCCGGCGGCAUAAUGGUGGCCGGGCCAGCACGGCUACGGGCGCUAGUCGCCGAAAUUGAAGGAGGCUCGAGUUUCUACGGAACCAGGAGAGACCUGAGGAGCGUGGACUUACCGAUAGACGGCGGGACGACGAAGAUCGGGUGCAGUGGUGGAGCGGAGAAGAAGGUGCAGCACGCCCACAAGAUGCUCGAUGAAAUGUAUCCGAGGAAGAAGAAAAGGAAGAGAGGGGAGGACGAGCUCGUGGGGGCUGGGAGGUGUGGGGAGGGAAGGGGAGGCAUGGGUUUAUAUAGGGGGCGGAGGGGAGAGGUGGCCGGUGCAGUGAUGGCGGAUGGGACGCGCGCGGCGUGCGGGGCUCGAGGCGAGCGGCGACGGGACAUGAGCGCAGGCGCAGCGCGGGGCUCGGCGCGAUGAUGGCGACGGCGCAGCAGCUGACGGCAGCGGCGCGGGGCUCGAGACGAGCGGUGACGCGACGGCGACACGCGGCGACGCGACGGUGACGGCGACAGCGCGACGGCGGCGCGGGGCUCGGCGCGGCGAGAACGACGGCGACGCAGCAGCGGCGCGAUGGGACGGCACGCGGCGCGGCAGUGCACGGGGCGCGAGGGCGCGUAGGCGGCAGAGGGAGGUGGGACGGGCGCGCGGCGGGGCAGGGGCGCGGGGCGCGAGGCGACGACGUGACGGCGACGACGAUGGCGCGCGGGGCUCAAGGCGGCGACGGCGACUGCUCGACGGCGACGGCGAUGGCGCGCGGCGCGGGGCGCGAGCUGGCGCGCGGCAGCGGCGCGGGCGACGACGAUGGCGACACGAGCGGCAUCAGGCAGGAGGAGGAGGAGGGCUAGGACGGCUAGGAACCAAAUCGAACACCUAGGGUGCUAAUGAACAGUGCUAGCCGGCUAUUUAACCCUAUUUUAGCAUAUUUCCUAUAUAAAUUUUAUUCUAUAAAUCCUAAUUUUUACACAAAUGAAGUUUACUCAAUAUUUGUGUUAUUCUAACCAAUGGAUUCACCCUAGAUUAAUAUUACCCAUAUUUAUUUAUUUAUCGCACAAAUGAAUUCUUUUUAGAUUAAUUUGAGUUAUUGGCCCUAAGGUGAACUUGUAUAUUUUUGAAGACUUUGGGGUACUAUUACAUUUAAUAUAUCGACUUGUCAUGAUUAAUACAUUAGCAGAUUGGUCAAGUUUAGUUGUAUAGCAAUAUAUUUUACACGGAUAGGUUCAAUCUAUUUAUUCUAUAAAUAGUAAAUUGAGACUCGGUACAAUAUCAAUCUAAUUGUUUAAUUAAAACUCACAUAUUCUUAUUUAUAUAUAAGCUUAAUGUAUUUAUAUGACCAUCAUUUUAUAUGAGUGAAUUUUAUGCCCAGAAAGAUAUGUUAAAUAUUAAUGUAAGUAUUCCAAUGAAAUACUCAUCUACAAAUAGGAUUACUAUAGUGGUGAUCAUCAUUUCAUGUGGAUAGGUUGUCCUUUUAAAUCGGUUUUACCUCUAUAUGAAUCAUUAUAUUUUAAUAUUUGACCUAUAAAUUAAAUUAGUAAUUAACCUUCUCUUUGUAUGGCUUUGUUGUGGUGCGUAAUUAUUUAUAGAGUUCAUAAUAAAUAUCUUAUUUUUAUAAUUGUUACUCAGUUGUAUAGCUUUAGCUUAAUUUUCAGUGGUGACAAUUUAUAGUUCGGCAAGCAAUAACAACCAUAACUUCCAGCAUGAUGCAAAAGUUUUAAAAAGUUCAAAAUUUUAGUGAUUUUUAUUGUCUUGAAUUUUCAGGAUGUUACACCUAGCUCCACAAAUCCCACGUGAAAAAUAAAGAUCAGAACCUUAAAUGACCUUUACAAGUUCUAUGCAAAACUUAUGCUGAGCAAAAAUUAUAGUCUAAAACUAAUUUCAAUUGUGUGCAAUAAUAAUGUGUAGUCCAAGGGUGCUACUCCCGCCCCAUGCCGAUCGAUGUCAUUAGGUAUCUAAAAACCAAAUUAAACACAAGAGUGAGUAAAGAAUACUCAGCAAGUACAAUCUUGAACUAGUAAAACAUACGCAUGAUUUAUGCAUUAAGAAACCAACAUGAAGGGUUGGAUUUACUUUAUUUUUAAACAAAAGAAGUCAAAAGAUAGUAGUUCCCUCCCGGGCAGGUGUGAAUAUCCUCUUAGCAUUACCGGUAAGCCGAGCAAGCGUGAUCAGCGCUUCUCAAGGAUCAUGAAUAAAGAUCCAAAUUGCACUCCCAUGGCUACGCAUGGUUCUUGAAUAAUGUAAACAGAACAUCCGGAAUAAUGAAACAUGAAUUUGAAUAUGGGUCGAAACACGAAUAACUAGCAUAACGUCAUAGCCAUACAAUCAGUAAUAACAAGCAAUUGAAUAAUAAUUAUGCAAGUAAAGCCAAACAAAACAACUCAGUUUUGUCCAUCAUAUAAGUCCGUCUUGUACUUGCCUUAACUCAUUCGAUACUCCGACUCAACUCCUCCAACGUUGGAACCCUCCACACCUGUGGAGCAAAACUACGCAUAAACCACUAUAUUCAACUAAUGAUGGUUACAAGGGAUAUUUAGUAAAAUCGAAACCUAGAACAUAUAAACCUUUUACCGAUUUGUAUUAAAUAACCUAUAGCUGUUCCAUUACUGUUUUAUGAGUAACUCACAAACCGUCUAACGGAAACUAGCAAAUAAUACAACUUCGGACAUCUAGACAAAAUUGUCUACAACUUUCAUGUUGAGCACAAAAUCAGAUUAUGCCUCUGAAAAUCCCACAUUAAGGAAAAACGAACUGCUGUCCUGAUUUCCGGACCCGGUCAGCAGUACUGUUUUUGCUGUUUCUCCUAAACCGUUGAUCGGAAUCGAGUGAAACUAGCAGCGUUGGAAAGAUAUUGACAAUGACUACAAACUUUAUUUAGGACAACUAACCUGAUUCCUGAUGGUUUAAUACCAGAUUUGAAAAUACGGUUUCAGCCUAGCGUUCGAUAUAAAAUAAAUUCGAAAAAACCGGAAACAGAUCGUCUUAAAUAUAAAUUAGAAACAACUAUAGACUAAAACGGAUUACCUAGCAGUACUAAUGUAUAAGAAAAACGAAGAAUUUGGAAAUAUUCACCAAAUUCCCCAAAUUUCCCUUCUUCUAUCAAAUUUCCCCUUCUUUCCUUCCUUCCUGUUCUUCUCUGCCUUCUCUCCCUCCUUCCUGUUCGUUGCAGGCCAACAGCAGCAGCAGCAGAAACGAAUAUCGGCAGCAACAGCAAGCCGUACACCACCACCAAGGAAGAGAUCAGAUCGACAAUAGCAGGGUUCGGCAGCAGCAGGGAAAUUAACAGAAACAACAGUAGCUCACCAACGACCGGCUGCGGACGACGACGGCUGUGGCGACCGGCGAUGGCUGCACCAGCGGCGGCGCCGGCGAAGAGAGGAACAGCAGCGGCGGCGGCAGAGCGCAGGAGGUGCGGCGGCUAGGGCUACAGGAGAAUCGCUCCUGUUUCUUUUUUUUUCGUUUGUUUUUUU